AAUAUGAAUGUAUCUAUUCUUAAAAGGUGUCUAGGUACAUGUAAUAUUUUGGCAACAAUUUAGGAUCGGAGGGAGUAUUAGUGUAACACUUAGGUCAAAAAUGGUUUGGCGGGAUCUAUUUCGGCCACCUGACAGCCACGUGAGUUUAAGCCAAAAUGCGGGUUGUUGUUGGUGUUUCUCGGGGUUUUUUUUCGCCAAACUUUAACAUAAUUCUAAGACAUAUUUUAACCUAAUUCUCCGUGGGUUGCUGCUAAAUUAUCAUAAUUUUCCGUAGGUUGCUGUUAAAUUUUGCGAAAGCUCUCCCGAGAGGCCCCAACAACAACCGACGUUUCUUGCUUAAACCAAUGUGGCUAACACGUGGCCGGAAUCAACCUCGCCGAACUGUUUUGAACCUAACCGUACACUUUUAGGGCUUUAUAUGUGUGUUUCUGAGUUCGUGGACUAAACUUUACAUCCAUUCUGAAUUUAUGGACUAGCGGUGUAUUUUACUCUUCUUUCUAAUUGAAAGACGAUGUUCCUAACAGUUUAUUAGGGGAGAUGUGUAACAUCCCAAAAUUUUCAAAACUCUCCAUGUGCAUUGCAUUUCAUAUGCAUCAUGUCACUCUUGCAUAUAAUCACUUUUAAAACCCCAAACUUAACCCAGAAAACCCUUUUGCAAAAAUGCCUUUAUUUGAAUUUGAGCUUUGAUCUUGCUUUUGAGUAUUUACAUGUUAACUCAUGAGGGUAUUGGCAUAAAAAGGGAUUUAAUGCUUUUAUAAAGCUAUCCCAUAAAUUGGCUUUUGAAAUUAUUUUGAAAAAUAGAUUAUUUUGUUAGCCUAAAAGGCCCUAAAAGCCAUUUUAUAGGCAAAAGUAUUUUUAAAUAUUUUAUUUUGAAGAAAAUUCUUGUCCCAAAAGUUAGAUCAUAUAAAAAUAUGAUUUUACAAAUUUUGUUGCAAUUUAUUCGGAGUGAUUUGGAGCUUUGAAUCAAUUUUGGGGUUCAAAAACAGAAAAUAGAAAAGGAAAAAGGAAAAGAAGAAAAAAAGAAGAGAAAAACCAAGGCCGGCCCGGCCUAAUGGGCUGAACCGGACCGAACUGGCCGAGCCGACCCGGUCCAGCCGCGCACCCGAGCCGCCCAGUCACUGACCGGUUGGACCCGCGCCCCUUUCUUCCCCAACUGCUCGUCCGGAUUCUCCGGCCACGCCCGCGAGUCCACGUCGAGCACGACUUCGGGAUUUCUCCGCGCUCGAGUCCCCAUCCUCAAAUUCCUGCGCGUCAUCCCAAAGCCCUUUUCUUUCUCCUCCAUUUCCCCCAAGCCGUUCGCCCAAUUACGCGCCGGUUGCUCCCAAAUUUCUUGCCGGAGUUGCCCUCUGCCGCCGCCUAUUUCGUUCCUUCGCCGCCGCUCCGGUGAGCUUCUCGCACCGCCGACCUCCUCUCCUCACUCCUCUCUUCCGUGCGCACCUCGUGACGCGGUUUUUCUUUGAUUUUGGUUGCCGCAGCGAAGCCGCCGCCGCCGCCCGUGCUCACCGCCGCCGUCCACCGCUCCUCGCUCGUCCUUGGCGUCGCGUCCGAGGCCCCCGAGGGAAACCGCCACUGUCUCCGGGACUGCAUCGCCGAGACGCUUCCGUUCCACCGUUUUCCGAGCCCCGCUGCCGCCCGAACAGCGCCGCCGCCAUCACCCCCGGCUCCGACGACCUAGCGCCGCCCGGUGAGCUCUACUCCCCUCCACCGUAGAUCUCUAAUCUAACGGCCCAGAUUAGAACCCUGGAUGAACCGGUACCGGCCAGUGAGACGCUGCCACGAGUCCCAUUAAUUUUUUAACCCUAUUCUCGGCCGAAUUAAAAUUUGUACUUUUGCAGAAAAGCCCUCGAUUAUUCAAACCAUCAUAACUUUUAAACCGUUUGUCCAAAAAUUAUGAUCCGCACCUUUCUGGAAUCCUCACAACAUGUAGAAUCUUUUGGCAUAGUCCAAUUUCAGUUUUGAACAACUUUGCCAGAAGCAAAUUACAGAAUGAUUGAAUAUGGUUUAAAUUUCAAAUGAAUUAUUUCAAAAUAGUUUUGAGCAUGUUAGCUUGCUGUAAAAUUAUUUAAGUUUGCUCUCUGUCCAUUAGGACCAUAGGAGAAAUUAUUUUGUAAAUGAUGAGACCACACAAAUUUAAUCUUGCUCUAUGCUUUACAAAAAAACUAUAUAAGCUUUUAAUUAAAGCCUACCCUUGUUUCAUGCAUAGUAAUUACCUACUUAUUAUUGUAUUAAUCUGUCCAAAUCUUUUGAGAAGCCCUUCAAAACAGAAACUAAACAAGUUACAUAUAGAAGUAACCUAAGUGUGCAUCAUCAUGACAUAUGCAUCAUAGCAUGUUUAUGUAUUGAAUGGCAUGUUUAUUGUGUGUAUGCUUUCUUUUAUUUUAGAUUGUGUGGAUUGUGAACCUUGUUGUUGCGAAGAGUGCGAGAACUAUCACAACUUUGGACAAGGCAAGUUCACUUUGAUCAUCUCCUAAAUAUUUUACUAUGCACUAGUUGUUUUAUUAGAUGCAUUAGAAAUAUUACUCGUACCUCUAUGCUAGUUAUAAAUGCCAUGUAGUAUAGUUUACCCUCGCCUUUUCCUUGCUACCAAAUUGCCAACGAUUGUAGUUGAAUGCUAGGCUAUGGUAGUACCGUGGAGGAAAUUACUACAUUAUGAUAUUGUUAUGCUUUUGACGAUAUGAAAUGUUUUAUUAGAUGUAAGGCAAAACAAUUAAUUCAAUGAAUCAUCCUGAGUGGGCUGCUUUGAGGAUUUUGAGGUUAUGCGACGUCAGGUCCAUUUCUAUGGGUCCCUCUAAGUCGACUUCCCGUGGAUUCGGGAAGGGAUCGUCCAUGGACGUCUCUCCCGUGGAUUCGGGAAGCGCCUACGUUGCAAUCGUGGAAUGCCACCCGGGGUAACCGAGACUGGACUAGUUUCCUAUUUAGCAGCUUCCAGUACAACCACAAUGCUAUAUGGGCUCUGGCGAGACAAGAGUAAGUUGUAUGAACCUAGAUUCAAGAAAUUGUACUGAGGUAGAAUGUGUAGGGGGAGCGUGAUUCUCUCGUGGUUUAGGAAAUUACCUUUGAAAAUCUCAUAAUUGACGCCGUUGCUACUCCACCCUGAGGACAGCAAGGGGUUAACCCGUCGGUUUCUUGUGGGGAAUGUGUACAAACUCUCGAGAGCGUCAAAACUAAGUACUUAGCUGUGUCCCCGGCAAUGGACAUUUUGAGCAACUAGAUGUGGAGCUGUAAGGAAAGUCUCACUCAUUCUAAUUUCUUAAUAAAAUGAAUGGUUUGAACUUGGGUUUAGGAACAUUGAUGUGUCUACUCAAUGUCCUUAGUUUAAUAGGAGCAUGGGUGUGUCUAUCCAUGUCCAAUAGUGAUAAAAUUCUAUUUGAUUAAAAGAUAGGAUUAAACAACUAAGCUUUUAUGCAAAUAACCUUGAACCCCACUUUGUCACAUUAUGCAUAUACUUGGUAGGUUCUGUUAUAACUCCUGAUGAAUCUUGCCAAUACAUUCAAUGUAUUGACCCUAGUGGCUGUAUCGUUUAAUGAUGAAGGAAGCUCCGACGACGAGUAAGAUGUACGUUCUGCUUGCAUUGGGUUACGAGCCUAUAUUCCAACACGCUCUCACCGUGGCGUUGAUGUAGCCCUUGUAUCUUUCGCUUUCUGUUGCUAAACGGUUGUUUUAUUUCCAGCUAACCCAUGGAGUUAUGCGAGUUUGUAAGUACUUUUAAAUUAUGGAUGAUGCGUUGUAAUAUUGAGAUCUUUGUUCUAUGAUAUUACAUCUUGAAACUGUGUGUGCUAGUGAGUCGAUCCAAGGACUAGCACUAAAAGCACAGAGAUCGAACCCGUGUACGAGGGCGGUCGCUUCAAGAUGUAUGUUCAUUAUUAUGUUGUCAAAUUAAAGAAAUCCCAGCUAUAUAUGAUGCUCGAUAGAUAGAAGACAAGGACUUGGGCAAAAUCAAGAGUAGUUCUGCAGAUUACGUAUAUUUCGCACUGAAAUGCGUGAUACUAUGUACUAACAAGUGCAGUUUUUUGGGUGUGAACGAGAUAGCAACACAGAGUAGAUGUAACAAAAGAGAACUAGGCAAAAUAAGAUAACAACAAUCAUCAAUGUAUUACUUACUUACCUUUCGAGCAUUGUCGAGAAUACAUACUGAAAAUGACAUGAUUCAUUAUUUGUAAUGGUCGAAACAAAAACAAACAACCAAUUGAUCCGAUUCAUUUGAGAGGAGAAAACCAUAAGUCUUACGUACGUUAACAAUUACUGGCUGAGAGUGACCUCACAAAAACAUAACUAGUGACGUACUCCAUCAUGCAUGGAAGGAUAGGGGAAAACAAGAACACAGUAACCAUCAAGUAUAUAUGUACGCCCCUCAUUUCCUAUAGGAAUUAAUAAAACAAUCUUAUUAUGCCUAUACUCUUAUUUUCAUGGACAACGAUGUGUUAUCAAAAUCUCCAAGAGACUCCCAAUAAGAGACAAAGGAUGUGGCAAACAUUAAAGAGUUUACAUAGGGAUAUAUCACUUUGCAGUAUCCCCUGCUUACAAUAAUCCAAUAUGCAUAUGUAUCCAACAACACCAAUAAUAUAUAUAGGAUGCGACAUCAAUAUGACCAUGCAUUUCACACAAAAUAAAAUUGGAAAUUUGGAGGUAUACCUUAGUAUAGUCAAAAUUUGAAAACAUAUGCUCAUAUAUAUCGUCCUAAAUUGUUAGAUUGCAACUCACUUGGAAAUCAUAUGUGUAAAAAUUUGGGUCCAAAUUACUAUUUGCAGAUUAUACAUAUACAACUAUAUGUAAAUCUACAAUCGAACACCAACGCUCAAAAAGAUACAUUUUUAUAAGUAGUCUGUGCAAAGACGUCCAUUUUCGAAAACUAGAAGAGUAAAUAUAGACAUUUGCUAAUUAUGUCGACUCCCCAAUAGGGGACACAUAUGUGGCAAACAUCAAAAUACCUUGUGUAGGUAUAAUCACAAUUAAUAUAUAUAACAGGCGUUCUCGAAAACUAGAAGAGGACGCUUGCAUACAUAGUUGUCGAAACAAGAAGCCGCGUAACGAAUAAGAGCAUCCCAUGCAGCCGAUAGAGAUCACCACUAACCUGCAAAAAAAAAGAUAGAGACCACCACUGCAAUUUUUAUUUACAUUAAUUCUUGGCUGGCUGGAGCUAGCUAUAUAAGACAGUUGAUAAAGUUGAUUAAUUCUUGGAGCUGGAUGGAGUUAGACAGUUAAUAAUCUGGUGAUGCUGAGAACACAUACGAUACAUGCUGAAAAUUGACACGAAACAACUAGCUAGAAAGCUAAGAUGGACGAUAGAAACAGUCGAAUUGAUCCAAUCAAGUAAUGGGACAAGCUAAUUACGUAAGCAUUAACAUCCCCGGCCAGCUUGACGGCAACAGCAAUAAAUCUUGAAGCAUCAUAUACAUCGAUCGCAGUGCAAGAAGCAACCAAAUCACCCUGCUGCGCUAGCUAGGAUUUACCGCCACAGCUAGCUAAUAUAACUAAGCUAAGCUAGCUAGCUAGCUAGCGUUAAACUGAUUAUUUAGAGUUUCAUAAUUUGGAGGCAAAUGCAUGCAUCGAUCUCGCGUUAUCCAUGACGUGCGGAUUGAAAUGUACAGCUACGAGUAUUAUCUUACCCUCUGGAUUAAUAUAUAAUUCACAAAGUACGCUAUAGCUUGCACUGAUCGACAUUAUAUCAAAUUAAUGUGUGUUGUUUCUAGCUCUAGCUAGCUGCCAACGUAUCUAGCUAAGCUAUCUAGAUAAUUAAGGGAUGGGCACUGUCAGCAACUGAUGCUUACAUGUAUCCUCAUUUUAGAUUCAGACUGAGAAGCUACGUACGUGCCGGCCCCUAAUUUAUUUCUUCGAGUAUUGUAAUUUUGGAGCAACCUAGGUUUAAUUUAUUUUGAUAAGAUCCCUCCUAUAUAUAGUGACACUUAUCGAUCUGUUGUGUACUUUCCUUUAACUAAUUUCCUACUUAUGUGUCUUGGUACGCUCGAUUAUCGUCUUUCGUUCUUAAUUGCCAAACUUUUGAAACUUAGUUAAUUAGUUUGACGACCGGUAUCAUUUAAGCUUGGACAUUUGAAACUCACAGUCCCGUGUAGAUCUACAUGUCUCUCGCAAAGUACAUUCUUCGGAUUAUAAAAUUUAUAGAUAUUUAUAAACUCUAUAAAGUUGAAACCCACUAAGUGCAAUUAAUUUAGCAAGCUGCAAAUGUAGCCUAUCCACAUCAGCAAAUAAUUACCAAUUUUCAUCUAAUUCCCAUUCUAAUUUCCAUCAGCACAAUAUAAAUCGUCAUCUCCUUUUUUCUACAAACGUUUCCGCUCGUGCGCUCACGCGCUCUUGAUCAGGCGGGUCACGGCCCAGCCCACAGCUCGCAGCCCACCUGCGCAGGGGAAACUUCCCGAUCCCCAUCCCUGGCUAACAGCUGCUUCGCCUCCCAUGCGCCGUUCCCCAUGCCGCUGCGAGGCUGCGAUCAAUUAUAUCCGUAAUAAACUGCAUCUUAGUUUCUCCCGUUAAUGCUCACGGUGUUUGCCCUUCCAGUAACUUCCGUGUAGCCUAGCGGCCAGCAUUGCGCCACGCCAUAUUAUUUUCCAAUACCACCGGCCAGUACACCUCCCCCCAAAUGUCUCCUACCACAAAGAUCUGUUGCUUGCUCAGACCAGGCCACGGUGAUUUUCCCUCUCUCUUUCUCUCCUCGGCAGCAAGAUGAGGACGAUGGCCACAAUGUUUCUCUCCUCGCCAGGGGCUCCUCAUACCAUCAGUGGUCGUGUACCCCUUCAAGGCGGUGAGGGAGACGGCGGAGGACACAAGGCGGACAGUGCGCCUCGGGAGGACAAAAGCAGCGAGGGUGACAAUGCGGCAGCGGGAGCAACCCCAGUGACGGAGGCGGCGGAGCCCUUCAAGGCUGCGAGGGCGAGCAGGCAGACCAGGAAGACGAGAGGUAGAGAGGAGGGGUUGGGUGCUACCAUGUGCGGAGUCACCUCGAGCAAGCCUAUGGGCGGCUCCGGUCCUAGGGAGGAGACGUCGGCUGAGUUGUGGCAAGGAGGGGAGCAGCGCAGCAUGCGCGGGGCUGGCAUAUGAAGGCGGAUGUGCUCCAGGUGCCCAAGACGACGCCCCUCAGAUCACCCACACCGGCUGACCAGCGGCCACUUCGUUUCCGUUUACUUUUAGGGGUCAUCUCUUCCUCUCUUUUGUUUGAUUGAUUGUGCUACGAACAAGCCCCCUAGAUGAGCUUCUUUGGAAUUUUUGCAGCAGAACAACCGAAGAGAAAGCAAUGAUAUCCUGUUUGAACCUCUACUGGAUGUUAUUGUCGGCAAAAGCAAUAUCUUCAACUACCUGGAGUAACUUAAAUUCAAUUUGGUAUGUACGGUAUCACUUUGACAAAGUAUGAUUUAUAUCACCUCCUUUCUGUGUUGCAGUGGGAUAUUCUAUGUGCUCACAAAAACACAAAAGAAAUAUUGGCAUAUCUGCGGUUCAUUCUUUGUAUUUUUAGAAUUUUCUCUGUCUAUGAUCAAAAUGCUAUUUCAUGUAACUUUCUAUUUAUUCCACGACAAGAAUUUAGAAUUCGGAGGGAAUAUCUAUCAAGAAUGUGCUUUUGGACAUGCCAUUGUGGUUCAUGCUUGGUACUUUUAGCUUUUCAAUCGGAACUUCUAAUAAUAAUAUUACUACUUUAUUAAUCUCAUAUCUCUUUUAGUUGAUACUUAACAUGGACCAUACUCUUUACCAAGUGUUUCCGCAGCAACGCGUGGAGUAUUAUCUAAUUAGAUUAGACGGUUUGGUUCAUCCGUGCGUCAUUAGCUUUAGAUGCUCUCCUAUUGUACUUACUGGAUGGUAACGCGCACUAUUAGCUGGCAUUUCUUGUUCAGGAUGAACCUUGCCAUGUAUAGUGACACUUUUCUGGAUAGCUAUUGAAAAUAUAUUACACAUUAUAACUCUUCUCAUCCACCGUAGAAUACACAAAGAAAAUGGAAAUUAAUAUAGCCUAAGCCUAUGAUGCAAGCACUCGAGUUUGCAAUUUAAUGGCACGCUAGACAUGUUUAUUACAUUGAUAUUUGGUACAUACAAAUGCACAACCAUAUAGGUUUUGGGAUUUUAUGGGAGAUUACACAAAUAUAUAAAUAUGUGUCUGAAAACACUACUCACAAUUCAACAACAAUACAUGUUUUAUUGUACAUCGGUACCUGGUAAACGUAUAAAUGCUCAACGAGAGGUACGCUUUGGAAUUUUACGGGAGAUUACACAAAUAUGUAUAAGUAUGUGCCUCAAAACACUAGGGGCACUCAUUGUCAACAGGUUUUCUGCGCAUCAUUUCAUCCUUUAUUGCCUCGAGCAAAUCUUCAGCAUCCUGAAAAUCAAUACAAUGAAAAUGAUCAGCACGGACCAUUAUGAUCAAUAUAUCAUACCCAUUGAAUAUAAGAAAAAUGCAGCAAAACUCACUGAUGUGAAUAAAUGCAACAAAAGUCACUGAUGUUAGUUCACUUAAUCUGCCCUCUGGAUUUUGCAUAUGAACAUAUAUACACAGAAAUAAUUAAGCUUGAUAUCUACUAUAUAGAUCAAUAAAUAUACGUUGAGUUGAACAAAACUCAUUAUGUGAUGGUAGUUCACUUGAUUGUUUAUCAACUACUCCCUCCGAUCCUAAAUUAUUGUCGGUUUUAAUACAAAUUUGAACUAAAACCACGACAACAAUUUAGGAUCGGAGGUAGUACUUAAUUUCUUAUUCCAUACAUGCAUGAGAAACUACUUAAUUUAUUGAAUUAAUUUUAGAGAACGUACAAUAAUGUUUUUGAAAACACAACACAUGCAACAAAUAAACAGGUAUUUCUUUGAGACUUCACUGUUUUUUCUAUAGCUAGUGAAAGAAGAACUUAAACCAAAGCUAAAUUGUUUCGGGCAACACAUUUUUUAUUUACUAACCCAGCCGGGUAGCAUUAAUUAUUAAUUGCAAACAAAUAUUUUUUUACCUCUUGCCACCAGCCAUCGACUCGAAAAAUGCUCAAAGAGAAGCCAUCUGUCGUGGUGAAGACGUGAGCUUCACGAAUAUGCACUCCAACCCAAUACACCAAAGCAGAUAGCUGCGCGUCAAACAUACAAUACAUAUCGAGUUUAAUGAAAUCUGAUUACUCCGCAAAAUAAAACAUACAAUAGCAUAUAACUAAUAUCGAGUGUCAAACUCUUGAGUAAAUGCAUAUAUUACAUUUUCCAUGUAAAAUGAUUUUAGAUUUUACACUCAACUUCGUGCGUACACACCCUUCUAGCUGCCGUGGAGUGAAUUUAAGGUAAACUAAAAACAGUCAAAAAUAAUUUUAGUUAAUUUAAAUUGGUUAUACAGUUAUGUGAUAUUUGUAGGGACUUUAUGCACGAGAAAGGAACAGAAUGGAGGAGGGAGGAUGGAGAUUAAAGUAAAACUGAGUUCUUUAUAUUAAGGUGAAAGGAUGCCAAUUAAUUACCAUAAAUUCAGCUUCAAACUCUUAAAAAGUUAUAGAGCAUAUAUUGUGAAUUAGCAUAAUUUUAGAUUGUAAUUCCAGAAAAAUAAGAACAUGUAUUACAUACCUAAAUUAAUUAUCGUGGUAAAGGUAAAGUGACUUGAAAAUCUUAAAUUCUCUUCGAAAAUUUUAAACUCUCUUCGAUGGUUAGUUAAUCAAUAGUAUCGCCAACUGAUCAAUUAAUUAUCGUUACCUGGCUGAGGAGCUUGGGUCUGUCGAUGGUAGCAAAAAUGAUCUCAUGGAUAAGCAUCUCUUCAUGUAUUGCAGCAGCACCUGAUCUGUAUAGGCGCGCAUAUAUAUUUACAUUCAGGGAGCUAGCUACAACGAGUUCAGAUUUCAGAAUGAAUUAACUGUACCACACAAACAUAAGCACACAUAUACCUCAUCUCCUCCGGCACCGGUGGACAAUCGCCGCCACCGCCGUUGGCAAGAAGGUCAUGAAGGCGGCGCACGAAGCGGGCGUGGACGACAGGGCACUUCCCCGGCUGUCCGGCGUCGGCGAGGAGGCUCCUGUGAAGCAGAAGGUCCUCCAGCUCGUCGGCACAGGCGCAACGUAGGUAGCUCUCCGGCAGCCGCUCAAAGUGCUGGGCCAGGUCGUCAUGCCGGAGCAUCGACGACUCAUCAUGGUUUCUCAUCUUGAUGGCGAAGAUAUCGAACGAGAAUUGGUUUUGGAAAUGUCGAUCAGUGCGUGUGUUGUGGAGAUCUACUGGUAUAUAUGAGCUGCCGAGCUGGGUUUUGGCCGUAGGCUUGUAGCAAUGUAGCGAGCUGCUAGGCAGCUUCGUCCAGUAAAUAAAUUUGAUCCAUCGAUGGGAUCAAUGGAGAUGAUGGAUGCACCUGGGGUAGCUAGAUUUGUUCGUUAGUAAAAGAAAAAAUCAUUAGGUGCAUGCAUAUACUAAGGUAGUAUCAUCAGUAUAAUGCACUAUUUUUAUUUUUAUUUUUAUUUUAUGUUUGUACGCAUGAAAUAUGUGUCUAGAUACAACUCCUCUAGAGUCUCGUAUAAAAAAGUACUCCCUCCGAUUCUAAAUUGUUGUUGAAAUAUUACAUGUAUCUGGACGCUUUUUAAAAAUAGAUACAUCCAUAUUUGAACAAAUGUGAGACAAAAAAUUAGGAUCGGAGGGAGUAACUAUUAUUUAAUAUUUAAGGAACUAUUAUAUAUAUUUAUACGCAAAUACCUUUUAGAUAAAAAACAUAUAUAACUUAUAUUUUGGGUUGCAUGAUAAUUCAAGAGCAAGUGUCUCUAUCUUUGGUCGGUGGUAAUUGGUAAGUAUUCUUCUACCCUGCUUAGUUUCGACCGACCAACAAAGAGUAUUUUUAUAGCAGAAUUGACCCACGUACGACAUAAGUCGGUCCGAUUUUGUUACGAUCUCAUAAUGUGUGAGAUCAAGAUAGGCAAUCAGAUGGGGGUUGAAUGAUUGCGCGGAAGAAAAUUAAAACUUUUUUCGAAAGUUCAAACACUAAAUCACCUUUCUGUCCGUGAUAGUAAAACAGCCGUAACUUUUGAUUGGAUGAACCAAAAAAUACGUAUGAGUAUGCAAAAGAAAGAUAUUGAAAUUAUCUAACCAACGCUACAAGAUUCAGCUCAAUUGGACUUACCAAUCGAAAGAUAUGAUCAAAGCAGUAACAGCUGACAGAAAAUUACGAGAAUUAAUCUAUAAUCGAUUUCGAGGAAUAAUAAGAAAGAUGAAGUAAUCGCGAUCUUUCCUUGAUCUCAUGAUAAACCUGCAGCAAAGUAUUAUGAACUUGUGAUAAAUCUGCAGCAAAGUGUUAGAAAAAUCUAGCACGAAGAAUCCACGAAGAACAGAGAUGACACCGCCAACGAAUCUCUUUAUUGCAACGAUGUCGAUCGAUUACAAAAGAUGCAACCAUGCAUCCAAGAACUCUCCAAGAAUUGAUCUAGAUCUAAAGCUCUGAGUUUCCUCACGUCCUUACUAAAAGCCUAACUAGGACGCCCUCUAUUUAUAAGGGAAAAUUCGUGAUCCUAAACCGAAUCCGAAUCCAACACCAACUCCUCUGUCCCGGUCGGUAUUCUGCCCGUGGGGCCUGCAUACAACCUCGGAUUGAGAUGAGUCCAAAAGCAAAGUUUUUCGUCUCGACGACGCGCACAACUUUCAUGUGGACUACUUUUUCAUCGAACGCCCUCUUAUCCAGCCACGGUUGGACCUACAUGUCUUCACGUCGAUGCCACUCCAUGUCAUCAACUUUUCUUGUGAUGUCUUCAAAACUCGACCAUCACGUGUCGAAUAUCUCCAAUACCGUACAUCUCCGGUAUAAACAACGUACGACAAACCGGUGCCCUCCCGGAUCAUCGUAAUCUUCACUUUCAUUGUUCCUUCGCACGAACGUCCCGCAUGACAUUGAUCCCUCGACCUCAGCUUCUCCCAAGUUUCGUCCCUCAAUCCCGUGAUCGACCACGUUCCUCUAGUUCCGGCAACACCUGAAAGCGAACACACAAAUAACCAGUACGAGCACAAGUCCACGACUUGACUCAAGGUAAGUUCCACACAACUCACGCCAUGUUUUCACAUAAGAAGCUAAUGGAUCAACACACCACUAGCAAAGCACUAAGUCCAAAUAAGAUACAAGUCAUCAUAUAAGUAUCCACAUCAAUGUUUCAUCUAAAACACUUGCCAAUGUUACACAUCACCUAUAAUUUCACAUAAUGUUGUGAUCUUGUGCGUUUUGGGCCCACUUGAGUAAACAAUCGAUGACUCCUAGAAAACAUUGUACUUGGUGUGCCGUCCGCAUAACAAAGCUCCUUUUAUAGUACAAAUCAAUUAAUAGUAAUGCGUGGAAUACGCUCACGUUAGACAUGGGGCACCUUCAUAAGGAGCGUCACUGAAAUACACAUUGCACCUUCGCCACAACAGAAACCUACCACCUUAUUUUAUAGGGUGUGUUUUUGUUUGGUUAAGAGAAACUUAAUUUUGAUAAUUUGGACUAGUAUGUGCACUCCAUUGCUAACUCUUAUUUUGUAAUUUUUGUGGUAUAAAUUUUUACAAGGUAGGCCGCCGGAGAUCAUUUCCGACGACAGUCGCGGGUCUACCCCGUUCCUGGCAGCUGCUGUUGGGGAGGUGUUCUUGCAGGGCGGGUGGAAGCGCGGGGAGGCGAUGGGCUCUGUUCCUUCGCAGGUGAGGUCGGAGAGGAGACACCGGGCGACGACCUCCCCGAGAGGAUCUUGGCCCAAGCCCCGUGCCGGGCAGCGCGACGGCGACGGAGAGCGAGGUAGGCGAUGGGAAGGCCGCGCCAACAAUUUAUCUGUUUCCGUUUUGCUUGCAAUUGCAGGGGCGGCGAGGGCGCGGGGGGACGCCGCUUCGCUGAGAAGCUGGGUGACAUGGGCUCGCUGCACUUCGGCACUUCCAGCGGGAGCAUGCAUGCCCGUGUGCUGCUAGCCCGUUACCUGGUCGACGAGGACAUUCGCCUCGGUGUGGAAGCCAACGGCACGAUGUGUUCGUGCAUCACCUACACUAAUCCCUCUCCUUUUUCCUUGCUCAAGUAACUUGCUCCCAGCCACUUUUUUUUAAAAAAAAUCCAAUUUAUCUGGAGAUGUGGAGUGGAUUUGGUGCGACGCAGGUUCUUGAUCGGGAUGUAUAGCUGUUGAUAUUGCGUGCUUGCAGUGUUGGUGCCUUUACAAAGGCUGAUCUAGAGAUUUGGGAUUAAUUCAUCCAGGUUAUUUCAGUUUCUUCUCUCUUAUUUGACAGGUUGAAGGUUGAAGAUACAUCCGUCCCUGAUAUUGCCAGUCUACCUUCUCCUUUUCUAUUUCUAGCAACCUUGGUCUUCGAUCAAUCUCAUGCUUGAUGGUUUCAAGAUUGCAGGAUUUUUUGAAAAAAUGGUGAACGUAUAUACCUUCCGAGUUAAUAAAUGAUGAUUGCGUUUUUAUCUGAUCCCGAGAAGGCCUGUGAAAUAUUGUGAUUAAUAUUCAAAAAUCUCAUGUAGUGUAGAAGAAAUAUGUAUUUUAAUUUUUAGUUGUGUUACACAAAAAACAAAGGUUGUAUAAUAAGAAGAAAAAAAGAUCAAGGUGUCCCAUUUUGGCAUGCGUGCAUGUUGGCUGUGGAUUUCAGAAGAAGAAUAGAAAAAACUGUCACCUAAUAACUUCGACGGUGCGGUGAAUCGCGCGUAGACAGGUAGUAUAUAGCAAAGCGCAACGGGGAAGAACAUGCAUGUUAUGACAGCCACAAGUCAAACUUAACUGCAAGCUAGAAAUCAAAAUUCACAGGACAUAUCUUGUUGCUAGAUAGGGAUCUAGAAAGUCAGACAUAUCAUGUUGCGCGCUAGAUAUAUUUUUCACAUAAAUUAAUUUAGAAGCAAGAAGAAGGCAGGCACAAACACCUAAUUUUUUUAAAACCUUUCAUAUACUAGUUCGUUUAUGAAUUUUUUGACAUUUUUAAACGCCAUUUUUGGCCUAUUCUAGUGUACAAAAAAGUCACUCUGAUGCUCUCUCACUCUCACACAAAAUAAAAUAAGUCAUGCUGAUGCUAUGGCCUAUGUGCUGGUUGGUGAGUGGCAUGUGAAACAAGACCUUCCAUAUUUAUUUUAGCAAUAUCUCAGAAUUUGCUCUUCUCAUCCUCUCCCUCUUCUCCGGUCUUCUCUCCCCCAAACCAAAACCAAAUCCCAUUUCUCCAUCUCGGAUCCCAUAAAUCCGUUCCUGCUCCUCAUCCCCGCCUCCCAAAUCCCUUCUCUAUCCCCCGACCUCACCGCAGCCUCAGCCGCAGCAGAUUAAAUCCAGUCACCUACUUGUCCCUGCGGCGAUUCCAAGCUUUCCCUGUUCAUCUUUUCAAUGGAUCCAAACUUUUUUUAGCUGCCGCAGCGAAAAAGACCCGCAGGCAGUUUGGGUGGGGGUUUCUCCGUGGAAAGCUGCGCGCUUUUGCUCGUCUCCUUUGGGGGAAAAGAAAUAUUCGCUUCCUUAAUUUGGGCGGAAAAGGUUUGGAUCUUCGUGGAAGAAUCUGUUUCUAGUUUGGGUCAAGCCGAGGAGCCUCGAUUUGGGGGCGGCGGGUAAGAUGUCUACUCCCCCUUCAUCCUUCAGUUCUUCUUUCCUAGUGUCCAGGCUUCCAUUUUGCAUCUCGAUUCGAUGCUCAUAAAUUUUUGUAGGUAGAGAGAAAAUGGACCAUGGAUUCCUGAGAUUACCCUUUCAUUUCACAACAUAAAGAAUAACAGUUUCGCUGUAGUUCAUAUAGAUCUUGUACUUGUGCACAAUAGUUUAGGGAUAUGCAGAUCACUGACGAGGGAUAAAAAAAAGGUCAAACUUUGUUUCAGUCAAUAUUUCCGUGCCCUGCCUAUAUGAUAUCAUUAUAUUUUUUAAGUGAAAUGGCGUGUUCUGUUAGCCUUUCACCAUCAGCGAGUUCUUCUUUUUCUGAGACUUCACCGUCAGAGAGUUGGCUGUUUAUGUUGCCAUAUGUAUCGUACAUUGAGUGCGAGACUAGAACUGGUAGCCCACUGACUUCAGAGUUCAGACUAUUCUUACAUCAUUGGAAAUUUCCCGGAUUCAUUCAUAGUCGCUUUCUUUGAUUAAUGCUUAGUUUAACUAACAGUCCUGUUUGGUGGUUGAUACUUAGCCUUUUAUUCUAGCUGUGACGCUGGUGGUUUUGUGGUCUUCAUUGUUGUAGAUGCUUGCAUUUUCCCCUUCUCAAUGUGCUUUUGUGGUUUUGUUUUGUAAAUCAAAGAAAUCUGUUGGAGAUCAGCGUUAAUUUUCCUUUUGCCGGAGAUCAGUAUUUAGUAAUGUUUUAUCUUGUGCAUAUGCAGUGCCGGCGAGCUGAUCUGAAAGGUCUUUAUCACUAGGCAAUUGGUGAUUUUUUGGUUGCCGUGCAGUUUCCACUAGAGAUGUCUUUCCGGAGUAUAGUCCGUGAUGUCAGGGAGAGCUUUGGAAGCUUAUCAAGGAGGGGUUUUGAGGUUAGAAUUUCAGGCCUCCCGGGUCUUUCUGGCCAUCACAGAGGGAAGUCAGUUGGUUCUCUCAGUGAGCUGCGUGAUAGACCUCUAGUAGUUGAUCAAAGCGAGUGGGUUGGUCUUCCUCCCGAAUUACUUCGGGAUGUAAUGAAAAGGCUGGAGGAAGGCGAGAGCACUUGGCCGUCCCGCAAAGAUGUUGUUGCUUGUGCAGCUGUCUGCAGGGCAUGGAGAGAGAUCUGUAAAGAUAUCGUGCAGAGCCCAGAGUUCUGUGGGAAGCUCACUUUUCCAGUAUCUCUUAAGCAGGUAAAAGUCCAAUCUUGUUUAUAAUAAAUAAUUACAGCUUGUAAGUUGUUUCCAUGUUAUAGCCUCGAAUAACUGGUACUAAAAAUUGAUCGUGGCUUGAGCCUGAGGAUAUCAACUUAAGUGUUUCUAUGCUAUCAAGUAAUCUGUAGCAUUUUUCUCUUAGACGAUUUAGAAGUAGAUAGAGGCUUCUGAACUUCUGCAGCAAGAGGUAUCUACUUACAGAAGUUCGCGCAUGUCUUGACAUUGAUUUUCAUGUGCAGCCAGGACCACGAGAUGGAUUAAUCCAGUGCUUUAUAAAAAGGGACAAAUCGACAUUAACCUAUUAUCUCUACUUGUGCCUUAGCCCUGGUAAGUAUAUGUCCAGCUUAUCUCAUAUAUCGGCCACUCAUCGAUUCCCUGUUGUAAUUUCCUUGUAACCAUUCUGGAUGCUAUGCUAAUGAUAUGAUUUGGGUUGUGUAGCUGUGCUUAGUGAGAAUGGAAAAUUCCUGCUAGCAGCUAAGAGAAAUCGCCGGACGGCAUAUACCGAAUACGUAAUUUCUGUGGAUUCUAAGAAUAUCUCGCGGUCAAGCAAUGGCUAUGUUGGAAAAAUGAGGUGAAGUCCUUUGACAACAAUCUUAGUAUCUUACUGUCUAAUCUUCACUGGUUUGAAGUUUCUGUUGGUGUAUGCAUUAAGAUCUGACACUGUAGUAUCAACAGGUCAAAUUUUCUUGGCACGAAAUUCAUUGUUUAUGACACUCAAGCGCCCUACAAUGCUGGGAGCCUUGUCUCAUGCCAGCGUGCCAGCCGUCGUAUCUCUUCUAGUAGGGUUUCCCCAAAGGUACCCACUGGUAGCUACCCUAUUGCCCAGGUGAACUAUGAGCUAAAUGUGCUCGGCACUAGGGGGCCGAGGCGCAUGCAGUGCACGAUGCAUUCCAUCCCAGCAUCUGCAGUGGACCCAGAAGGUGUGGUGCCUGGCCAACCCAAGCAGCUUCUCCCUGGUCCCUUUGAGGAGUCCUUCCGCAGCACAAACACCUCCUCCAGGUUCUCUGUUACGGACUUUAGCAGCUCUCGCUUCUCAGAAAUAAGUGGAGCAGUACAGCAAGACGAGGAGGAUGGGGAGGCUAAGGAAAAACCUUUAGUUCUCCGCAACAAAGUACCAAGAUGGCAUGAGCAACUGCAAUGUUGGUGCCUCAACUUCCGGGGUCGGGUGACUGUGGCUUCCGUGAAGAACUUCCAGUUGACAUCUGCACUGCAGCCAUCUGUUGCAUCGUCUGAAUCUUCACAGCCACCCCAGCAGCAGCAAACCCAGCCUUCGAGUUCCUCGUCUUCGACAUCUGAUCACGAGAAGGUGAUUCUGCAGUUUGGUAAGGUUACUAAGGACAUGUUCACCAUGGACUACCGGUACCCACUCUCGGCAUUCCAAGCUUUCGCUAUCUGUUUGACCAGCUUCGACACCAAGCUGGCUUGUGAAUAGAUCAGUGUUAGAAGUUUUUUUUUUUUUUUUUGUGUGUGUGUGUGUGUCUUGUUGAUUUACUUAUUUGUUCACCAAGUGUGUCAAGACAAGAAAUCCACGUGCAGUGUUUGCUAAUUCUGCGUGCCUCUUUUUUUUUUAAGAUUGUAACUGCAAAAAGCUAAACAUUGAUUUGUGCCCUUUUUCCCAUGAUGAUGACUAGUCGGUGAUAUCGUGAUUUACUUAAGUCGUCACUUGUAAAUCCUGCUGAGACGACAGUCAUAAUGAUUGAGAAUGCUUCAUGUUGACCAAGUAAAUGCUCUUUCUGAGAUCAUGAGAUGGAUGAUGGCAUAACUAGAUGAUGUCUUAUGGGACACCUGGGAUCCAGGUCUAAGAUUCAUGUGGAUUUAAGGAACCAGCUACUGCUACGUGUUACUGAAGAAGUAUUUAGAAAGGAGACAAUGUACAGUCCAAUGGUCUACAGCUAUGCAAAUUAUGUACAGUUAAUAAUCAACUAUCUUAAGACACUGUUCAUGGAAUCUUCCAAUUUUGAAACCUUCAUAAAAUGUUUACAGAAACAACCUAUGUCACUGACCAAUCAACUCUACUUAAAUCCUAGAAAGAGAAGGCAACCGAGAACAUUCGACGAAUGCCAUCCAAAUUUCAGCCUCCAUAGCCCUCACCUGAUGAACUUGUUGGUGUAUGCAAUAUGGACAUCCACGGAAACAAAUUUUCCUUGUAUCGGCACAUUCAAAUACUAUCAACAAAGUUCAUCAGGGCGAUGCUUCUGCCCAGAAGACGAGGGGCGUGCAGCAUUGCCAACCGAAAGGAUGUCCAGAUCCCUAACUUCAUUGGAGCUCUCGGCCGUGCUUCUGAUAACAGGGAUCUCAGUGUCUGAAUCAGGCGUGCAAUCACCUCUGCGAUAUUUCACACCAUUGCUUUCAGCUCCCAAUUCUCCAUCGCUCAGUUCAUCUGACCGGCGCCGAGAGGUCUUCAGGAUGUCAAGACCCAUCUCAAGAUCAUCCUCGACCUUGGCUCGUGGACGGUGGGGUGUCUCAUCUUCCGGUACACUGGAACGGCUGAUCCGUGGCAGUGUUGCCCCAUGUUCCUCUUGAACAAUGCCUCGCAGGUUGAUCCGGGAAGGCUUUCUUUUCGUGCAGAGGACCUCAAAACAAUUGUGCAUGCAACCACGGUCGAACGCGUUGGGUUGGUUGUUGUACUUGUACUUGAGAUUCUCAUACGUUGUCUUCAGAAAAGGAAGUGGAAUUUUAAUUCAGUUAAAUAAAAUUGCUAUAACUCAAGAAGGCAGUAGUACACAUAAUUGCAUUUUUUUUCUGCCAUAGAUAAGUUAUCCAAUGAGAUUUUUCAUGAUUACUAGAGUUCAAAUUAGCCUGUAUAUGCAUCGUAGAUCAUAUCCUUAUGUGGGAAGUACAUACAGAUGCUAUCCUUUUACUGUAGUAUCUGAAGGUAGCCUAUAAUUUUUGUGUCUUAACAUCGACUCCAUAGAUUUAGGGGACUAACCUUAUUUGUCGCAAUGAGGUAAGAGUGGAACCCGGUGAGACCACCGACGAACCAAAAACAAAUGAAACAAUAUGCCAUGACUGCCACUGAUGCUGGAGAUUCUUUGAUUGCCUCUACUACUGAAUGAUGGCCUCUCUUCAUGAUAAGACUGAUGUACAAUGCGCACAUUGAAAAUACAUAGAAACACAGGACUGCUGCUGAAGAAACAAACCAGAAGAAGUAACGGUAAUUGCGCUGCAAAGGGGAAAAUAUAUGCAGAUAAGCUGAGGUUGUUUUGACAGGAAUCAGGCUGUCCAAGGUUGAAUAACUCAUAGCUUGUUUCUUUCAAGAAAAUUAAAGAAAUCAGCAUAACAAACCUGUCCAAUACAUUGACCAACCCAAGGGCAGUGGUGAUCAAACCGCUCGACACAAUUAUCACAUUUGGAGCAGUGGGAGCAACGAGGAGGCCGGUAUAUCAUGCAAGUUUCACAAUAUUUUACUCUCACAGGGAUACCAUUGACCAUAACCUCUUUUAUGCGAGGGAACUGAAGAGUAUGAGGGGCUGAAGCAUCAUGAGAAAACUCCUCCACAGGUGGAUGUGAAUUCCGUGGUACAAUACCUGGAUCUUGAGAUGAGGUAAAGAAGAGCAGUAACAGUACCUAACAAUCAGAUUUUGCAGAGAGAGCAUACUAUGAUUUGGUGGUUGUAUACAAAGUAGCAGGAAAUAAAUUAACAAAACUAACUAAGCGAAAACAGACAUUAAUUUGCAAGAGCAGAAUAUGGAUAAAAUUACUAAUGACUGGGCAAUAUAUCAAACUAAAAAAACGAAAAAUGAAAUUUCCAAGUCUAUUAGAAGUAUAUAACCAAACAUGAAGCAUGUGCAAGUGGAAAAGAAGAUAACUGAAAGUAAAUAAUAAGAAUAUCAAAAGAUCAACUAAUGAAUUGACCAGUAGAACUCUGCUAAGUAAAGAUUAAGGUUUUAUUAUCUGACGAGAGAAAUUAUAUUCUACAGUUACAAUCAAAAUUCCGACGAUGUAUCAUUUAUGCAACUUUGAAACUGAAUACGAGGUUCAGUUUUUAGCACUUUCCCAACUGUUAAGUGCAAUAAAGGCACAGCAAUGCCUUAGGGCAGUGUAACUACUAACCACUGUUUCAUGAUCACAAUGAUGCCAAAUUACCUCUGAACCUUGGAAAAACUAUAGCUUGCGGAAUGACAUGUAUGUCUAAUUAACUCAGUUUGUCACACAAAAACUCGUGCUCGAAAUCAUUUGUAAUUUGAAGAUCUAAGAAAGUACAGGACCUUUCAGAACUAUAUGAUUGUUAGUUGUGUAUCAUAUGCCAUUUUUAAUCACAUUAGAAAUUUUGUCCAACUAAAGAAGAAGCAAAUACAUGAUUUUUGGUGACAACACAAAUCCUAUGCAAGCAGCUCAACAUAACUCUUUAGUAAUAGGCAAAGAAUGCUUACUCACAUGAACUGUGAGGACAAUGGUAACAACUGGAAUUGCAUAUCCUGCAUUAUAUGCAGGAAAGAAGUGUACGAGAUGUCUGGCCACAAAGAUGCAGAAGACAACAACAGGGCUUGCGAUUAGCGCAAAAGAUAGUAGAGUGGCCUUGGCAUCUGGUCCAAAGAUCAACCUUCCAUGACACCAGAUUAUCUGAAGAAAAUGAGAAACAUCAUUGAGACAUUUGAUAGUCCAUAGAUAGUUCGAAAAUACUGUGACGGUAGUCUGAAAUUCUGGAUGGAAUAGGUUGAAGGGACUAACUAAUCAUACUAAAACAGUUAAAAGAGUGCAUACACAAGAAAGUAAUGAAGUAGUUGCAAUGCAAUGUUGGCAAACCAUGUGGAUAAUUUUCUAAGCAGCCUGACCCUGGUCGGAUUACCACCAACAAGGGCUGCACAAAGACAAGAACUUGGACCCCCCAAUUGGAUGGAUUAUCUUAUUGGGGUCACCAUUCACGUUGGCAACCCAAGUUCCAAAUCAACCCCCAAUAGUUUAUUCAUCUGUCUCGUCAUCAUCAGUGUAGUUUAAUAUACAAAUCACACGCAAAUCGAUCAACUAACCAGCUAAACCAGAUAAAGAUACGGGGCUUAUCCAGGAGGCGCAGUUACCCCAUUCCCACUGUGCCCAUCUUCUUCCUCGCCAGGUUAGAGACCACAAAUCGCCACAGGAUGUCAGGCCAACAAAUCAAGAAACAGAGACAUAGAUGAGACCGGCCGCUGCCAGUCGAUCCAGACCAAGAAGAACAGGAAAUUCCGGAACCCCAUAAAGAAAAGGUAUAUAGAGUAAUCUGAUCUCACAUACGUUGUUGCCUCUCCAGACUUGGUAGACCCGCUGCUGCUUGGCCAUGGCCGCCGCCGCCGCACCGGAGCGAGAAGGGAAGAAAUCCACCAGCCAGCCAGCCAGUCAGCCUUGCACUCCUUCGAGGUCUCCACUUGGGGGAGAGGAAACUCUUCUUCUCCCUCCACCUCUCCUUCUCCUCUUGAUUUCCUCUAGAGAAGGGUCAGGGAUAAGAGGGCACGGAAGCGAGAUGCCAUCACCCGCCGCCGCGGCAUCAUCAAUCGCCGUGGGUCUUCUUCCUCGGUGUGACAGACAGACAGAGGUGAGAUGAGAUGAAGAUAUAUCUAUCUGGCUUGGAAACCUUAAAGAUUUGAUUUUUGCGAUGUCUACAGGGAGGAGGAGGAGGUAUCCUUGGUAUGUCGGAGUACGAAAGCAUCUGUUCUUUGUUCUCUUGGGACACUUUCUCCUCUCUCUUCAUUUUCUUUCUUAUUUUUCUAAUUAACAUAGUUCUAUUAUUUUCCUCGCACAACUAAUGAGGGGUACAGUUGAUUUAGAUCCAUGUCUAUACUAACUCUGACUCACAUCAUGAAUAUGGAAGAAUUUCUAUAUACUACCUGAGUUUUUAAUUAAUCCUAAAGGUUAUUGUGAAAUUAUUAUUAUUUAUUUAUUUUAAAGGUUAUUGUGGCUUAGCAUUUUGGUCUAACUGGUAAAAUAAGUUGUUUAUUCCUUCUCGUUAAUAGUUCCCAUGCCUUUAGACAAAUUCCACUUGUGUGGAUCUGCAAAGAUAUUAUGAUCCUUACCUCUGGAAAGAAUAUUACCAAAAGUAAGGUUUUUUAAUAAAAACUUCAACUACACGUUUCACUAUAUUUGUCAAUAAAGAGAUGCACAGGUUAUCUGACUAGAGAAAGGGUGAAGAAUAAUCUAGCUGGGAGAGAAUAUGUGCUUGAUUUGAUGCCAUUCCCCCUCUUACUGAUUGAGAAUAAUCUAGCAUGUGAAGUUCAUCACAGGUCAGAGAUCAGUCUCUGCCAGAACUUGCGAAUUCUUGGGACAUAAAGUUUUCACAGGAUUCAUUGAGAAAUAAUCGUAUAGGCAAAAUAAUAAUUCCAUGCGACACGAAUAAAUAGUUGGCACUGCUCAUUGCAUGAUGCUGUCUGCUUGAUUGAAUGCUGUUCUGGAUUUGGACCAGCAAUUUCAGCUGUCAGUCAGUCAGUCAGAUCAGGGGCCCUUCCUUUUCGCCAGCACUCACUCAUCAAAACUGUAUAUGAAUAUGUUCAUAGCAAUAAAUUCUUAUUGGAAUCAGUAAAAUUCUCCCACCUAUCUUUUUCCUUAUGAGAAUAAUUCAGUUUGAUUCCGUGGCGUGGCGCAUAAGAGCAUUCACACUCUUUAAAAUACCUACCUCUAUAACCAUCUCUAACGCUUGGAGAUUGCCUCCAAGGACUGUAGGCAUGUGCCUCUAAGAAUGAAGUUGAAAACCACCUCUUCAUCUAGAGGCAAUCUCUAAGGACUAAAAUAGCAUAUCAUGCUUGGAGAAAACUUGAGUUUGAGAUGCGAGGACUAGUUGUUCACGGUGAAAAUGAGUUUUUUUAUAUAAGCCGGGACCCAGCUUAGAGGUGAGAAAAGCUUUAAGCAUUGCAGCAGAAGGUGAUACGUGUGGAGGCAACGAGUGGGUCCCAUCUUAGAGGCAAAAUUGUCUCUAAAGACUGUGGAUGCCCUGAGCAUCAACCACAAACUGGCUGUAAUUUUAGUUUUUUAGGAAAAAACAUGGAAGAACUAGCCAUGUGAAAGUAUAUCGAAACCUCAGAGGUACAAUCUGCCCUAGUUAACAAAAAUGAAAUAUUUGAUUUACAACUCAUCGAACGGUUACACCCGACAAUUUCACCAGUUCGAUUCUGCAUCUCUGUAAGCUAAGGGAUGAUUUACAGCUCAGGCAGUCUGAUGAUCGAGGAAAAGAACCAAUGAAACCGAUGCAAGAACAAUGAUAGAAAAAUUUGCCUCAGGAUGGCAGUAGCACUAGGGUACACCCUACAAGCUGAAGCGAGGGGCUCUUACGACAGAAACAGCAGAACCAGAGAUGACAGACCGAAGAAGAAGCUCCACCGGAAGGGUGGGAACUGAGUCGUCGCCGCACUGGAAUCACCGCUUGGGCUUGUACCCUUGGUGGGUGCCCUGGGUGGUGAUGGCGGUGGAGGUGGAGGUAUCACACAGGUUCCGAAUGUCGAGUUGGACUGCAGCUCAGAGGUCACAAUAUUAGUGGGAGAAAAAAAAUAACAAGACUGUGAGACAGAUGGUUCUUAAUUCCAUAUCACCAGAUGUUAAUUGAGCUGUUUAAUUCCAUAUCACCAGAUGCAACAAAAUGCGUCACGAGCUGUUUGAUUUAUGAAAAGUGCAGGUAUCAUGUGCCUUUACCUUACAGUAUGCAAUGUUGUCACACCCACAUACUAGAUGGCCAUUAGCCACGUCAGUAGCCAAGGGAGCUCCUCCACCAUUGCUCCGCUGCACAAUUCAAAUGUUAAGGAACCCGCAUGAUUGACUGAAUAGAUUUUGUUUGGAUUAACCAGUGAAGAAGUUUGCAAUAUUGGCAUACCAUGUAGAAAUCAACAGCGAUGUAGUUGGGCCACCGAUUGCCAGAGAGAUCGUGGCAGGUUUUUAGCAUGCUAACAAGUGGCGCUGAAUUGUUCCCGCAAACCCCGGUCUGACUCGGGUCUGUCGUGAAGAAGUUCAUCAGAACAAGCGACUGGCUUUUGGAAUCCAUGGCCGGGGACUCUGAGCGACUUGGGCAUUUACCUUCUACCAUGCCCUCAUUGCCAUCUGCAAAGAUAAAGCAAAAAAACUAUAUGAACAAAUAAUUCAUUGAAAAUAUAUCAAACUUCACAUUCUUAUGCCAACAGUUUGUGUUGGAAGUUGGAACUAUACAUUGGCUUUCCACAACAUAGCUCCACUCAUACGGAAUACCCUCGCUUGCUUCUUUUGAUUUCUUUGAUGUGAAGACUACCAGGCGCUCAUUUUGGCUGAUCAUGUCCUUGAGCAAAGGCCAGUUGCCCCCACUCUUGGGCAUUUUUGCCACGGGGAACCAAUACUUCAUGAGGCCGGAAGCAUUGAAUACUUUUGGCAAGGACCCUGUAGCAGUGUAGUCUUCCAGGAAAACUGUGAUCACUGCUGAAGGGUUUGCUUCAAGGAACGUCUGGAUUUCUUUGAAGACAUUGAUGGCUGGUUGCUGCGCAGAAUCCCACUCAAGAUUAGAUAUACAGUAUCAAGAUGCUCUGCACGAUAGAGAAGAAAAAUGUUCAGCUGGUAAUCUUACGAAGGCUGUGAUAUUGUAGCACUUCCCAGCAACUGAGUGGCACAGCCAGACAUCAUUGUUGAAAUCGUAAGUGUCAAGCAUCAAGCCCCUAACACCAUUCUGCACAUAAUCAGGUAGAGUUUCCCAAGGUUAAAAUUUCAAAUAGCCACUGACAAUCUAAAAUUCAGUGUUAAUGAACCACGACAGAAUACAUGUUGGUGGUGUACAUCAGAAUUUCAUCCGGUAACUGCAAAAUAGACUGCUUUUUUAGGAAACAAAAUAGACACCACGUUUGUAUAAUCAGCAUUUACGCAGGUAAAAUGGAAUAGCACUUUGCAGGAGGAAAUUAAACAAUACCUGCAUAACAACAGGAAAUGGAGUAACAGCUUACUAAACUGCGUUGGGUUGGCUUCUUUGUUUCUGUAGUUUUUUCUUUCUUUCUUUCAGUUAUAAGAGAACUUAGGAAGUUUCCGCGAGAUAUAGCUGGGGCAAGUAGAAAUAUCGCACGGUACAUUGACUUGUUCAAUUACUUCAGUGUGGCUAGAAAUAACUAUUAAAAACAACAACUGCCUCAAAAACACCAACAGAUGUACAUGAAAAUCUUUGUUGCGUGGCACCGAUUAUAUAAAAAAGGACAGGGUGGCAUCAUAAACUAUGUGGACGUGGUCCCUCCCUUUCCUUAAGACCAAAGCAAUCGAUAACUUCAUAGCAUAAUACCUGAACCAGACAUGAUUACAACAAGGCCUGUUUGGCAAUCAGCAACUACCUCGGUGACAAAUCACUCAAUGUGCCUACCCAGCGACCAUAAAACUAUGGAAUUUGAGUGCUAACUACUAAGGUCUGCCCAUAGCCAUAAGAAUCUCUGUGAGCUGGCAAGUAGACUAACCAAAGGCAAGUAUGGCAUUAGCUGUAUCUAAAUACUAGGGUCUCUAUCAUUGGCAUUAUAAACAUAUCCGGAAAAAUGGGUAUGUUAUUCAUAGUCCAUAGUGUGAUGGAGAAACACCACUGCAUAUGGUGUUAUGCAAAGAAAAACAAACUACUUAUGCGUAGUGUUCGCACGCCUUAUUUUUUCUCCUCUGUUCCUUGGAAGUUACUGUAAAGAGGUUUCAUUUCAUACAUGCAGUCUUGAAACUUAAUGUGCAUUUGUCAUGUUAGAUAUUCGUGUAUCUUUCUAAGCUCUACUUUGGUUCGAGCCUUUUGUCAAGGAGCAGACAUUUGGCCCUUUAUUAUGGAACAGAAAAGAAGGAUGCAGAUACCUGAUCUGAAUUCAAACAAAAGCAUGGGGCAGAGGAUAGAAAACAGUGGAGCAGUAGUAGAGCAUGUGUCAAGUGUAAAAAGAAAGGCAUUCUUUUCGUGUAUUAUGAAGCCAACUUUUGAGCAUUUCGCUGAUGAUAUUCCUCCAAAAAGUGAAAAAGGUGGGGCAGGUAGGACGGUGAGACACUGAGACCUUGUGCAAGCUCUGCCUUUUGAAUUAAGGAGACCCUACUUUGUCUGAUCAAAGGGGCAAUUGGAAAACUUAGCUAGGAAGGCAGCAUUUUCCAUCACCAUUACAGAAAUGGUUCAGUUGACUUAACACAGUGCACAAUUAAAGGCUGAGUACAAAACUACAAGUUUCAGUUGAGUAAAGUUGGUUCUAAAAAGAAGAACUCCCCUUCAGCAGCAGUAAAUCUCAGUAGGGCAGUAAAUCUGAGUGGCAAUUUUAGUAUGAUCAGUGAACCUAUGGAACAUUUUGGUCAGCAAAGCAUUGGUAUGGGCCUUGCAAAGGCUAAAGAUACAGCAGCAUCUAAUCUGCACUGAGUCCAGAAAUGAACCACUUGGUUUCAGUUUAGGAGUGAAGAACCAUUAAAUUAUUAACCGAGGAAGUAAAAACAGGAUGAGGACAACAUUAGGUAGGCAAUGGGGAGUGAGAUUAGGUACGUAGCAGGCACAAGCACAUGGAUGGAAUGGAAAGAACACGGGGUGUCCGGCCCCACAGAGAACACGGGCUGUCCUGCGCCAUGGAGGGCCCUCGCCGGCGCCGCGGGCGCAGGCAGGUAGAGCCGCCGGAGGAAUUGAUGACGGUAAAUGUAACUGACAAACUGCUAUGUCGGCGGCGGGGAAGGAGGAGUGGGAAAGGAAGGAAACCUUGAGCUGAGCGGUGACGGAGUCCUCCUGGUUGGCGGGGGCGAUGAGGGUGGCGCCGGUGGCGGAGGCGGCGCCUGCGAGCGCGAAGGAGUUGUGCGUCGUCAGCCACGAGUAGUUGUUGAAGGGGAGCCCCGUGCCCUGCGAUGUCCAUGGAGCAGAGCAUCAGCCACCAAAUCGAUUCAAUCCCAACAAUCUCUGAACAACUGAAGAAGGAGCAGCUGAAUUACGUGGGUGAGGGGGUCGAUGGGGGAGGCGCGCGCGCAGAUUUUGGCCUCGCCGUCGCCGCAGGCGGCGCAGUGCAGCCCCGACCCGCAGUCGCCGGCGGCCGAGCAGCCGUCGCCUUCCCGCGCCGCCGCGGCUCUGCCUGCAGCGAAGAAGACGACGAGGAGGAGGAAGACGGGGAGCAGGCGGAGGCGGGUGGCCAUGGUUGGCAGCGACCUAGAGUACCGGAAAAGCAGCGAGAGCGCGGCGCGUCUUGAGGGCACGACAACGGCUAUUAUACCAUGCCAGUCUCGGUCUCUCUGGCUUUGGUUGGUGAAUGCCGGUGUUAAUCCUCCACGAGAACAAACACUGAUCCAAACCCAAUUUCAAGUCCCUAAUUAAUGUGUGCCAGGGAUUAGAGCAGAACGCGUGGAUAGGAAGACUAAAUUGGUGUUGCUCCAACUCAUUACUCUUUGCCUACUGAAACAAAUUCUUAAUUUGAAGUUGAAGCCAACAAACGAAUAGCUAGUCGUCGUUGUACUAAUCAACACGGAGCAUGGUUACGUGCAUGGUGCCACCACACGUAUACGCGUCUCCAAAACCUUCUUCAGUUUGAAAGGUUCAAUCUUUAUUUUAUUUCUACCCGUUUCGAAAAUGAAAGGUUCCAUUUUUAUCUAGGAAUUUACCGGACACCGUUUCUCCCAAAUCCUUCUUGGCUUUGUCAAAGUUCAAUUUUUAUUUAUCAAACCCGAGCAUUAUUCUCCCUUCACACAUGUCCCUGCUUAACCUACCAUGUGUUAACGAUUCCAUGGUUCCAUGUGUUUCUCUACGGAGUACUACUUAUUCUUCCUUUCUUGCCAGACAACUGCAGGAUGAGUGGACGACUUGACUUGACUUUAUUUGUUUUUGGUUCUUCAUUUCCUUCCUUUGAACCAACAACCCCAAUCUUUUGUCAACUUACUAACAAGUCAUGGCAAUCCACUCUUAAGAAACACAGGGGGGGCAGCCAGCAAAAAUCAAAAACCAAUUUUGCUGCUGUGACCAGCAAUGCCAGGCUUUUAGUCUAGUCACAGUGGAAAUAACUUAAGCAGUAACAUAAAAGGCCAACUAACCAUUUUGAUGACAUGCAUGGUAUUAAAUGAAGAAAGAGAUGGAGGUGGUAACUAGAUAUGUUAUCAUAACAUCACAAACCAAUGCAAGAUAACCUAAUAAAUGACACUAUGCAUGACACGACAUAUAUGUUACUACCCUACUCUAAGUUACUCCUCACUAUGACCAGCCUUAUGAUUGUGAUUCUAUAGCCUAAGCUCCUAUUUGGACAGCCAAAAUACACCCAAAAUUUUACACCCGCAAAUGAUCCAAGGACAUUUUCUUUAAAUAUAUGCUGUAGUUUUUUUUUUGUUUCACAUCUAGAAUACAUAUACAGCAGGAUUUAGGACUCCAUGCUGGACAAGCAAAGUACUGUUACUGGCUUACUGCUGCAAGUUCCUCACAAAUUUUUACACACAACCUGCCCAGAUCAGCUUCCUCUCUAUACGAGCAGCACAUUACAUUACAUAUACAGCAAACUAGCUGCAGUAGCUUCAGCUAGGGCAAGCAUGCCUGACCACCAGGCAGAACCUUUUCUCUGGCUUGAUGAGAGCUCAGAUCGGCUUCCACACACUGAGCACCUCCUGGAACAUCUCCAGCAUCAGCUCGCGGUCCGCGUGGUGGAAGAACCCGUCGAUCUCGUCCCUCACGUCAUAGAUCUUGCCGAACACAAACAGGUAAGCCAGGCACCCCUUCUUCAGCUUCUCCAGCUGGUACAGCCACGCCACGUGGAGCCUCUCCAGCACGUUGGCCGAGCAUAUGUCCUCCAGAAGGCUCUCCUCGCAGCAGGCCUUGACCUCCGCAAUGCCGUACUUAUUCGCCGCGCCUAGCAGCGACACCCGGUGCUUCCAGAACUGCUCCUGAUCGAUCGUCCCGUACACGAAACCCAGGAGCGCCGAGCACGACUCCACAGUCAUGUCGCUGAUGUCGAUCGUUGAUGACUCCUUCUCCUUGAGGUCGUGCAGGAACAUGCUCUCGAACACGGGGGAACACGCCGCAAGCACCGAUUUGUGCGCCUUUAGGACACCAUCGGUCGUGUUUAUGGUAACGUCGGCAUGAAUGGACUCUGUGAGCAUGCGGGAGAGGGAUCCGAGAGUGCUCUUGCUAGCAACUUUCUGUACCAUGCCUUCAUUUGGCCAGAUUGAUGAAGAUGAUUCAGUACCCUGUCGGUCCAUUGGUUAGAACAUGUUAAUUAGCAGAUAGUUAUUUCACCAGGAAGAUGUUCUAUAAAACAGCAGGAAGGAGGAACCAUUUGCAGCUGAUAAGGGGGAAAAAGGAGAGGAUACUUGCAUUGUUGGUGGCUAUCCUCAGGUCCAAGAACUCAACAUCGAUCGUAAAGCGCCCAUGGGACAUCGCAUCGACUUGCCACACAAAAUCAUCGCUGCUUCGGAGAAGCUGCUCGAUAACUAUCACAAGGAAUAAAAAUAAUUAGGUCUGCUAAUCCGAGCGGUGAGUGCUAUCAUAGGGAAUGAACCAUUAAAGCAACAAAAUGACUAGGGAAUGAAACAUCCAAGGAAAACUAUCUUCUGUUCAUUUAGAUUAUACUGCUAAACAUAUGCAACCUACAUCGAUCCCCAGACAAUCACCAUUGUCGCAGCUGAUCAAGAUCGAAAUUACUCACCAACUCCUCUACAAUUGCAAAUCACAAUUGGAAAAACUCUCUCCUCUUCAAGCCUAUUUAUCCUAUCUACCUCCUUGCCUCCAAAUGGUACUAGUAGUAUUUUAGCUGGCAUGAGAAAACUCCUCAUAAAAAUCAAUCACCGACAAUUCAAUUCAACGACGGCACAAAGAUGAUCAGAUCAUAUGUGUAUAGCCUAAUAACUGGUGAUCUUUCACAUUGCCUAUGACCCUAUGCGACCACACAAAGUCUGCAAGAACACAUUGCCGUACUGCAAAUGAAAACGCACCAAAAGCUUUCAGCCUUUUAUCAAUCGGAGGAGCCGGAGAUGCAAACCUGGGGAGACGCUGGAGCGGCGGGGCGGUCCGGCCCAGGAGACACGGAGCAGAAAGCGGGCGAACGGCGGCUGCUCCUUGGCCAGCCGGCCGGGCUCCGGGAAGAGCCGCACGUACACGGACCGGCUCUUCUCCACCGACAGGUACCUGUUUUGAUUAUCACCCAGCAUCAAAUCACUCAAGGCUCCGAUCGAAUUUCACGAAUUUGUUGGGAUUUGAGGAGGAAGGAGCCAGUAGAGAGGUACAGUACCAGUUCCAGAUGCCGAGCUUGAAAGGGUCGGAGCGGCGGUAGGAGCAGGGGCCGAAGGUGUCGAUGCGCCACUGCGCGAGGCGGGAGAUGGUCUCCACCCGGGAGUCCGGCCCGCUCAGGCUGCCGCCGCCGCUCAUCGUCGCCGGAGCCUUGCCUUUGGGACUUUGGGUGAGUAGGAGCAAAAUGGGGAUGAGAUGACCCAGUCAGUUCAGUCAGUGACCUACUGACAAUUGCUGCCCCUCGCAGAACUGAUAGGUGGGCCAGUUCUUUUCGGCUCUGUACCGUCUUCUCUAAGAAGCUGUUCUCUCACAGCUUUAUAGAGAAGCCGUCAUCUAAAUUUAAUUAAGAUAUCAAACUAGUUUAGUCUAAACUAUUUCGAAAACCUAACUAAAUCAGAGAUGCGGCUUCUCCAGGAAGUAAGGUGAGGGCAGCUUUUAGAAAAAGCCGAUCCUAUAAGCCAAAAAAAACGCACCCAUAAAGAUUCUCCCAUUUUAUUUAGUUUAUGUCCACACAAAGUAAAUUUGAAUUCGAGGAUUUCAAAAUUUGUUUCUGAAUUGGACUCCUAAAAUGGAUGCUUUUGCUCUAAGUUCAGACUUCAGAGAUGCCAUUCAUAUAAGAUAAGCAAAAUGAAAUUAAUGUACUCCAACCGGCCAGAAUUAAUUGUCGAAAUAUUACAUAUAUCUAUAUGUUUUUUAAACAUAGAUACUUCCUCCGAUCCUAAAUUUUUGACUCGAAUUUGCUCAUAUAUGGAUGUAUCUAUUCUUAAAAAGCGUCUAGAUACAUGUGAUAUUUCGACAACAAUUUAGGAUCGGAGGGAGUACAUCAAUAUUUGGGCAAAUUUGAGACAAGUAAUAUGGGUUGGAGAGAGUACCAAAAAAGGAAAAACUUUUUAAACAUAGAUAAUAUGGGAGGAGGGAGUAAAAAAAAAAAGAAGAAAUGAAAAAUAGGUCCUACCGGGAUUCGAACCCAGGUCGCCAGAUUCAAAGUCUGGAGUGCUAACCACUACACCAUAGAACCAUUCUGCCCAUUUUAGGAUAUAACGACUUUAGUACGUGAUGACGCUCCAAAAGCGAGAGAUGACUGGCCCAAAUCUGUCCUAAAACCAAGCCCAUAAGCUGCUAAUGGGCUCCCUAAAAUUGUACUCCAAUAACCCACCACUUAAUAAGUGCACGAUUACUUCAGCAUUUUAUAAUGAUUUUCCAAAUAAUUUCAUUGUAUAUAUACUCCAUAGGUGGUCUUCAUUGCAGCGCCCGCGAUGUAUAUAUGCAUGUUGUAUAUGGUGCUUCUCCCAGGCUUUUCCUUCGGCUGCAUAUCUUGUGCUUACAAGUUAGAAAGAUCUAUAACACUGCUACAAAACUCAUCAUUCUUGGUUGAUGAUCAGUUAUGACCCAGGAGGAAUAAUCAGUGGUAAAAUGUGGUAGAUUUUACUAACAUGUCCAUAUAGGACAUAUAACUUCCAAGUUAUACAGUCCACAAACCCGUGUUGAGGAGUCAUCACUAACAUGUCCAUAUAGGACUCGCUCGUUCACGUCGAAGACAUUACUCCCUAGCUAGAUUGCUUGCAAGUACAAAUCAUUGUAAUUACCACACAUUUUAUGUGGUAGAUCAUGAUGCUUUUGUAGAAAAAUGAAAGCGAAAACCAGCCUCCAAAUUAAAGUCCUCCGCGAAACAUGUCUUGCCAAAAUAAAACUAAAUAAAUCAGUUACCACGAUUGUUUGAUUGUGAUCUUUGGAGUAGUUGAUUGGAUUGAGGUUUUUUUUUCCAGGGUAGUGCAUACACGGUUGCUUAGUACCGAAUCACAAAAGAUGCAUAGAAUUUAGCCGAUCGAGAUCAUUGCAUUGCAUGAACAAGGACCAGUCGGCCGAUGUUAUCAUUGAUCUUAGUGCAAGUUGCCAUCGGCCGCUGCUCCGCUCCGAGAUCGAUCGUCCCUCAAGCAAAGCAAAGCAAAGAUCUCCACAAGAUUCCCCACGCAACAUAUAUAUGUUGUCAUGAUCAGUACUGAAAUUACAUGUAUAAUGUAUUGUUGUUUUCGUGUAUACAUAUCCUAUGAUGUACAAUAUAUAAAAAUGGAAGCGGUAAAUAUUAGUGAAGCAGAUGUAAAAUAUGGUCUUCAAAUUAAUACACUAUAUACUCUUCCCAUUGCAUAUGAUCAAUCGAUUAAUUGUCAUGUAUAUGUAGUUAAUCGGUCAAGAUCACUUGAGUACGUUAAUCUUUGCACAUCUGUAUAGCGUCAAUUGUUCUUCGAGGAGCUCGUGGUAGGAGCUGCUGCCGGCGGCGGCUGGCCGUGGAAGAGCUGCGGCAGCGGUGUGGACGGUGGCUGCAGCAAGCUGCUCCACAAGUUCCAGUCCACUGUCGUCGGCGUUCCGGCUGCCAUGGCGAGCUGUUCAUCAGUAGAAGCAGCAGCACAGGCGCCGUUGAGCGUCGUGGGGCUCCGGAGCGGCGGUGGCAUGUCGCCGGAGAUGGCAGAGGAGAAGUGUUGCACCUGCUGCUUGGACUCUGCCGCCGAUGCCACGCCAUGGUGAUGUUCAUCAUGCGGUGGUGCGCCGCCGCCGGCCACCAUGAGCCGCGCGCUAGGAGAGUAGUUGUCGGAGUAGUAGUAACUGGAGCCGAAGCCGUAGCCUCCGCCGCCGCCGUUCAUCAUCGGGUACCCGCUGCCGCCGUAGGAGGAAGAGGAGAACCUCUGUUGCUGGUUGGGCAGCGGCUUUACGAACGCGCGGCACACCACCCACCCUUCCUCCUGAAGGAUCAAAUCCACCAAAUUUAAUCCAGAUUAUGAAAAAACAAAUCAUUUCUGAAUUAUAUGUAGACGACGAUCAGUUGAGAUAGAUUAUUUUGAUUCAUGUAUGGAAUUGGAAUUUAAGAUUGUUGAUUCUUGCCUGUGUGGGCGCGUGCUGGUUGGAUUGGAGGCGAUACUCGUGGAUGAUCCAGUCGGUCUUGCGGCCGUUAGGCGCCCGCCCACGGUAGAACACCAGCGUCUUCCUCAUCCCGAUCAUCAUCAUCGCCGUCGCCGGAGAAGAUGAAGAAGAAGACAAUGACGACAUGACGGGCUUGUCUCUGCCGGUGGCCUUCCAGAAUCCGGCGGCGGUGGCGCGGUUGGUGCGCGUGCCGCUCGGGUACUUGCGGUCCUUGUAGCUGAAGAAGUAGUACUCCUCCCUCGCCGGAUCCUCCUGCCCUCCUCCUCCUCCGCCGCCACCGCCGUACUUGCCGCACCUCUCUGACGUUCAUAUAUACAUGAUCAAUCUCUCCAUCGAUGAAUUAAUGAAUCAAAAUCUUGCAUGGGGAGCAAGAACUGAAUUGUACCUUGGAGAUCCCAAGGCUCGAUGCGGUAGAGAUCGACCUCCUGGAUGAUGUCGAGGACGUCCAUCUUGUUCAUCUUGUUCUGGGAGGAGCUGUUGCUGCUGGCCUGGACCUUCCUGGCGAGGUAGUAGCCGACGAGCUCCUCCUCCGUGGGGUGGAACCUGAACCCCGGGGGCACCGCCGCCGUGUUACACCAAGAAGCAGAAGAAGACUGCUCCUCCAUUGCCACUGCCAGCAUGCAAAAGCGUUACCAGCUAGCUGCUUUAAUGGAUCUCAGCUCAGCUCAGAGCAUGCAUGUGUGUGUCGACUCUGGAGCUGUGGAGGGGCCAACUGCAUGCAUGGGGAAUAUAUUGGGGAUUCAUGAUGCAUGUAAUAGUAGCUGUUUGUACUUUGUACAUGAUGCAUGCAAUUAGUUGAUCCGACCGAGAGACCUAAUCAGUUGUUGCACCAUAUACCUAAAGGGAGUACACACUGAUUUAAUCUGCAGGAGAAGAUCUAGAACGUGUUUUGUUUGUUUAAUUUAGGAUCGAUGGAUGAGCUUAUAAUUGUGUGUGACAUACCAAAAGUAGGAAAGCAAGAUAUAUAUUCAUAGACGACAGCAGUACUAGUUUUUAGUUUGGACGGUGUGUGUGAAGCUAGCUAGAAGCCUUAAGCUUUUUUGGAAGGUAGAAAGGGUUCCUUCAUGUCCUCCUUCCUAGCUAGCUAGCUUGGAGUGCACUUCAGGGCUGGUCUCUCUCACUAGCUAAGCUAGCUCACACACCCAGACAUACAUAUACUAGUACUGAUCCUUCUCUGUCACCAACAUGCAUGCAUAUGCCUCAGAUAUACUGUUGAAGUGGCUAAUAUAUCAGGCAACAUAUAGAGUACUCCAACAUAUACAAUUAAUGGUACUAUUGUAUGGCGCAGACAUAUAGAAGCAGCUGUUCAAUUGUGACCGAGAUGUAGUCAGAUGAGACGUUAUGAUUAAGCUAACUGUAUACAUAUGUGUACCUUCCUGCUAUUUAGGAAGACAAGUGCUGUUGCAACAAACAACCGAAUCAAAAUUAAGAGGAUUAUACUAAUUAACAAAAACAGUAUGAGACACAUGUACUUGGCCUGGACAUUGUACUAUCUAUCUAUAAACUCACCAAAUUAACCAAGAGUUACUCAACCUUGCUAUAGCCAGAAGCAUUCAUAGUUUGCAUAUGGUGGCUAGAGCUGGCUUGCUCGCGGUCUAUGACUAUAUUUAUGCAUGAAAAUGCAAGAUCAUGAGGUUUAUUAGCUUAGUUACAGAGUGCACGCAAGCUAAUCUGAAGGCUGAUCUGACCAGUUGAUUUAGUAAUAAUAACUAAAGAUGCAUGAGCAAAGACUUGCAAGUGCAUCGAUAUGGAGUGGAAAUCUAGCUAGAUAUGGAGGCUUGCUUAGUCGGCAAUGAAAUAAGCCAUCGACCACCACUACCGGCCGCCACUAGCCUUCAAAGGGACAUUCAAGCUAGCCGGUCAAGGGCUAGCUAGAGAGAACUCCCAAAGAUGACCCUUUCAAUUAUGGCAUGUUAUCCCGUGUACAAGUAGAUCUGCAAAUUUGCUAGAGAGUUUUCUUUCAACCAGCCCCGUUUGCAUCCCCUGUUUCAAGGCCGGUCAGGCUUUGAUGAUCCGCCGUCGCUACACUAUUCCAAAAACUCACAUACUCCAUCUGAGAUGGACAAGGACUUGUAUAUUCAAUCGGUGGCAGUCAUUUUCUCUUCUUAAUUUAUGAAACUUACAUCUGUUUGUAUUGGAAAACCGUUUGCAAAAUAAUAUUCCUUGCAGGGUUAUUUUUUUUGCCCAGUUGAAAUUUUUGAACUGCAGAUCAUUCUAUCGAAUAUGUACGGAUGCAUAUUUCCCUAGCGUCUUUUGAAUUAUUAUGGAACUUUAUCGUCACUGAUUGUCAUGAAUGGGUCCAAUUAAUUAGGCUUAAAUGGAGGUAUCUUAAGUCUCAAAUUUGAAAGAGAUUUGUCUCAAAUGAGACUUUCUUAUGAUGUGUGCAUAGAUGCUUUCCCCAUAUUUUUUUAUUGAGUUUGUUUUCAAUCAAAGCAGAACUUGUAGAUUAGAACAAGAGAGCAAGUGAAGUCCAGAAAAAACAGUCAACAAAAUCAUAAAACAACUUAAACUCGAGGUUUUGGAUUACAGAGCAUACCAUCAAUUCGUCCAAUUGGGUACAGGAACAAAAACCCUGCAGACAUCUAGAAACAUCUCCAGAGCUGCCUACACAAACAUGCAUGUCCCUUACUUAAUUUGGUCAUCAUGAGCAUCAGCUAAUACAUGUCUAUAAAUAGGUAAAAACAACAAUACUAUAAAGCCUUAAUCUUCUUCACAAUGCGCUUCAGUACCAGAGACCAAGAGUGAAACCGUCAAAAUCAAAUGCUCAUUAACCUCCCGCUUUGCUGUUCCGAUCAAACUUCUCAGUUAGAUCAGCAAUUUAACUAACUCCAUACUAAAAUGCACCUCAACAGUUCAAGGGGUAGGCGAGCAUCGAUCACUCCUGCUUGCUCCGGGUUUCGCGGGCGCGGUGUCUGAGCUCAGCCCGUUUCCACCGCACCAUCAGCAUGCAGAGCGUCACAAGGGUGUUCACCUGCGAAACAAAAUGCAUAAGAAACAGUUGCAGAUAAGGAAAGCGGAGCAGGAGGCAGACAAAAAAGACAGAAGGUGUGAUGCGCUUACCAGAAUUAGGAUCGUUAUCAGAAGCAGGGGGCCUGACCACAUGACUGAGAUGAAGAGACCUUGGGGAUCAAAGUAGUUCUGGCUCGAGAAGCUCUUCCAGUGUUGUCCCAAGAAUGUGUUUAAUCUCUCCGCCAGGAAUACACCAGAAACUGUGACGGAUCAAGCACAAAGGGUAAGCAAAGGGACCACCUAGCAUAUCACGAAAGCAUCUGAUCGCCACCAUUAACAUUGUGCAUACAUAUGAGAUGAUACCAUGUUCAAAGAUUCGAACUGCUAAGUUUGGCAACCAUCAGAAAAAUUAUCAAAAAGCCUUCAGACUUAAUUUUUCAUCAAUACUUAUGGUUAGCAUAGUAUGGCAUUCAAGUGACUAGUAGAGGAGGGGGGAAUACAAUAUCAAACUCGACGAACGAUGUAAGCAUUCUGCAAAUAUUAAAUAAUGGCACUAGAAGUCUGGAGACAAGAAGAUGACAAGAUGGUAGGAAAAUUGCACUCACAUGUUAAAGCUGACAAUAUAAGUUGGAAAUUGAUGUUCCUCCUGGAGAUGAUGGUUACCAGUAGCAGAAUGGCAUGGAAGCUGAUCAUGCCGAUCAACCAAGGUUCCUGAAGACACACAAGUAAUAGAUCGGUCAAUGUACAGACGAGGCGACGGAGACAAUCGAACAUGAACACACAUACUACAUCGGUUGAUUCAAGCAUAUAACAAAAAUGUCACAUGGCCUGGCAAAGCACUAGCAACUGAUUGCAACCAAGAAACAAAAAAAAAAGAACUAGCUACUGAGUUCCAUAUGGAUCAUGGAAGCGCCGGAGCUGGAGCAAAUAACAGAAGUAGUAACUUGCAUUUCUGUUGCAGUCAUUUAAUUUUAGAUGCACAACGGUCUUGUUCGAUCGAAUUACUUGCCAAUAUACAUUGGAUAUAGCGGAAUCGUGCAAAGAUGAGCCGUAUUUGACUGUUCACACUACAUUGGUGCAUCUAUUCUCGAGAGAGAUCCAGGCGAGGUGGGGAAUUAAAAAACUGCAGCUUUGGUUGGUUCGAUUUGCCAGAUGACCAAGCACACUGACGACGUCCGGCGGUCGGAAAUCUGCUGCUGCCUUCCCGGUUAAAGAAAUCUACGAGGAAACUAGGGAGGAAAAGAAAAAACAAGGGAGCACCUUCCAGUCGACGGCGUGGAAGAAGCCGAUGAAGGAGUCGACGGCGGGCGCGAAGCCGCCGCGGAGCUCGGUGGAGACGCGGCCGAAGAGGUCCGCCACGACGUCCGCGUGCUCGUUCAGCGCCGUACGCACCUCCUCCACCGCGCGCCCAACCGCCGCCGAGGAAGAGGAGGAAGCCAUCUCGUCGUCUCGUGAUCUGAUCUCUCCUUCCUCUGCUCUCCUUUCUCUGCAAAGAGACGCAAAGGCAAAGGUCGUCGCUCUGUACGUCAGGGCCCACGCGUCAGUCACUAAACGACCGUGAUUAGGCGGGCCGGGCUUUUCAGUUAACUGGGCUGGGCUUUGCUUAGGAAGGAGUACAAAAUUUACCUGUUCUAAAACAAAAAGGGCUAAUUUCAUAAUCUUUGCUAUUGCUUAAUUCGUACCUCGUCCAACCCAGGGAACGAGCCAGAAAAUCUCCACUUCCCCAGAAACAAAAAAACAGGCGCGAUUAUCUCCCCUCGACCAGAAACAAAACAACUGUCGAAUCUCCACUCGCCCAGAAGGAAAGCUGGAUGGACGGCCACCCCCAGUGUUCCAUGCCUGCUCCUUGGUCGCCACUCGACACCCGGUCCGAUCAUCCGUGCUCCUCCGGCCGGACCUAGGCAGAUCCACGCGGGCAGUGACCCUGUUCACGGCGGCGCAUCUCAAACUAUAUAAGUGAAAUCUGAAGCUUAAAAAUACAAAACACUAAGCUGAAAACAUGUUUUCUGUGCUCGAUUCUCAAAUUAUUGGGCCCUUUUCUGGCUUCAGUAUUGAACUACAAACACUGGUUUGCAUGAACACCUACAAGUACAUUCCCAAUGCCACAGUGUUGUUUUCAGUGAUUUACCAUUUUUCCUUUGUUCAGGAGGAGCUUGAAAAACAGGGAUCUCUGCGUAGUAUAUGAUGCUCCAAGAAGAAGGUGAGCAUGCCAGGAAAGACUUAGGUGAGGGUUUAGGAGUUGUUGUGUCAAUUAUUCUUUCAAGUACUCUUUCCAUGGUUCGUUCUGUACUUGAAACUAUCAGCCAUCUUAGAAACAUUAUUGGUGGUAAAACUUUUAUUGGCAUACAACACUUUACUCUGGCGAGAAUUGUUUUGUGAGUUAUGAAACAGUCUUGUGCUUAAACAGAUAUGUAGUGAUUGAGUUACAUCUCAUUGUGAUUUAUUGAUUUUCCUUUUAGUUGUAAAACUUAUGCUGGUUGUCUCCUAAAGAACCUUUAAAUCUACAUGGUAUACUUUUAUAGUUUGCAGUAUCAAACAACCGAACUUAACAUGAUUAUCUAAAUGUUCUUUUUUUCCGAAAAUAAAUAAUCUUGUUCAUUUGAUAAAAAAGAAUAAUAUCAUGCUAGACAUCUCAAUUUCAAGACCUUGCUUUCCUUUGCAGUUUAUCUCAAUUUCAAGAUCGGGGCUUGUGCUAUUUAUAUACGAAGACUAUUUGCUCAGGGCCCGUGCCAAGGACCAGGAUGACAAUGUUGCUCAUGAAGGUCUUCUGCUUAUUGCUGGUACGUAUUCAUCUUUGAUGUUCUAAAUCAUAAUUCAUAAGGGCAUAUUUGAUCAUGUUGUUUUACUUCUUGACAUAUAUAUUCAUGUGGAUGUAUUUUGCAUCGGUUGAUCAGUGUUCUUAUUAAGCUGUUGUACAGGGAAACAUCAUAUACGGUUGUUAAUGUUUGAGUACAAAUUAAUGCAGAUCCAAUCUUUCGGUUUUUUUUUCUUCCGAAAGGAGUCUCUAGUGAGGAUGGUAACUUGUCCUUUCCUUCAUCAUGUCAUAUUAGAUUACACUAACAGUUUUUUUUUUUUGCACCUCAACAAAGGUGUCAGCUGUUGUUCAUCAGGUGAUUCGUCCAAACUCUCAUCUCCGGAGUCCAAGAUCUACUUAUUUUCUUUUCUUUCCUGUAGAUGAUAUGUAUCUUCUUUGCUUGUGGAUAAUAAAAAAGCAGGAAGGUAGUCAAAUGAUGGUUUGAUACAUAUCUUGUUAGAGUUUUGACUUCAUAUAGAGGUUGCAAGAACUACACUUAAACUUGGUAGUAGAAAGCUUAGGUUAUACUAUCUUGUUAGAGUUUUGACUUAAAAAAACAAGUAUCUUACCAUGAAUCCAAAAUUUCUUUGAAGCGCAAGUUUUCUUGAUUGCUUUUUCGAUACAAAUGUUGAUAAGAGGGUACCCGCCUCUUCUAUAAUUUGUCAUAUGCUUGUUCUCUUUCACUCUAUACGAAGACUAUUUCUAUAAAAGAAGUUUUACAAUGCCCUUUGAAAUUUGCAUUUUCCCUUCUUUUCUUUUCAGAGGAGCAGCUCGCUAAAUUGUUGGGAAAAAAGAAUAAUUGUUUAUGGAUGUACAUUUGUUGUUGUUCAUUGUAGCAAAGUAUGGACAUGAAACAAAGUCUGAAUAUUUUAGUGCUAUAAUUUAUUAUGAAGUUUGAUUGUGUGUUACUACAUAAUAGCAAAAUGGAAUGGUCUGUCAACUAUGUUUUGAAAAAGAAAAUCCAGUGGCUGAAUGAACAUGCUUAACCUAUAUUUGACACUAGCGUGAUCGUUGGAAUAUUGGUGUCUCCGUUGCAACGCACGGGCACUCAGUUAGUAAUCCUCUAAAGCAAAAGUGUAUAAAUUUCAUGGUCACAAGCGGCCGUGCUUUCUUACGGAAUCGAAAAAAAGUUAUAGAUGAAAGUUGAAAAUAACACGAUAGCGGUGAAAACUUGAUGAUAAGCUUUGGUAGAGAUUGGACAGGGCUAAAAAAAAAGCCACUCAUAGAAUUAAUGAAAUUCUUGGCCACUUAAGCUGAUUGAUUUCCUCAAACAAACAACUACUUUCUCGGUCCCGAAAUAAGUGCCGCUAUACAAAUUCACGUUAUUUUUUUAGGACGGAGGGAUUAUAUAAUUGUUUACACGUUGGAGAGCUUGAUAUAUAUUUAGCUAAGUAUACUUCUCAAAAGAUGAUUAGUAACUGUAUUGAGAUUACAUGGUGGGUUAAAAGUCUUUAGGCCGCACUUUAGAAGUUGAGCACCUGUCCUGAACACCUGUUGUCAAGGAACCGGACCGAUGCUUUGCUGGCUUUGUUAUUACAACUAACGGAAUACCAGUGUUCAGUCACCUGGAAGAAUUGGUGGUCUCUGUCGGAGUCUGUUGCUGCCGCCGCUGAUUCGACGGAUGUCUCUACGAGCAUCGCCCGCUGUUUCUUGUGAGGACACGAUCCAACCAGACGGUGCCGCUGAUGCUGACAGCAUCCGGUAAACAAACAAUCAACGCCUAGUUAUUAAUCCCCGUGGACAGCGACGGGUAAUAUGGCAUCAUCGUCCAAAAUAAGCUAGAAAAUCGGAUCAAGGAGCGCGAAUCUGAAGCUCCCCAUCAUCCAUCCUGCAAAGCAAUUGCCAUCCCCAAUCUCUCCGUCGAAUUCGCCGUCAAUCUCGCCACUGCCUUUGCGCUGCGGUAAUCCCACGGCCGAUUCCCCCCCUUUCCCCUAACCCAAUCCCCCCCUACCUCAUGGCAGCCGACGUCUCCAUCCCCGCGCCGCCUCUCCGCGCCCCCCAGCUCUAGGCUCUAGCUCCCAAUAAUCCCGCCGACGGACCCUCUCCCUUCCUUCCUUCCUUCGUCUCCCCUAUUUCCAGGUGAAGCCCUUUUUUCGUCGAUUGAUUCAUGUUUCUUUGGUCUGGAAAUGAUUCGAUUCGGGCUUCACCGGUUUAAGUUCGCGGGAGGAGGAUUUAGGGCCGUGAAUUUUUGGUAGUCGUGUUGCGACAUGCCGACGCUAAGACUAGAUUCAAGCUUCUGUCUUUUUUGGGGAUGAAAUUCGAGCUGCAAAGUGACAUCUUUUAGGCAAACUGCUGUUCCCUGAUAGUGUUUCUCGGCGGCGAUUUCAGAGCUGCAGGUUCUUAAUAUUCUAGUAGGAAUCCUCUUGUUCUCCGCGCAGUUUUGGAGCUAGGUUGUGCCUUUUCUUCGCAUAAACAUAUGUGUUCUUUUGUCGAGGUUUUAGGUGCUAGAUAAGGUCAAUUUUCAGUGGUAAACAGGCCUACUGUUAGAAAGCAAGCUGAAUUAAAAAAAAAGAAAGAUCUUCAGUCAAUUGUUCAUCUAUGUUUCUCAUUUUAUCUGCUAUUACAUUUGAGUGCUACAACUCAAUAUUGUACUUACUACUGCUGCACAAUCACACUGCUCCUGGUUUUUUAUUUGUUGCUCAUCUUGUAAAAUGGAAUUGCAGGGCUUUUAGCUGAUCGGUGCUUGAGAAGUCGCUCUCGGGGUUUAGAGUCCUCGAUCGGUGCAUCCGUGCUCGCUCUUCUGUUAGGGAGCUCUGACAAGAUGAUCCGUCCAGGAGGUGGGAGAUUAUUUCCUCUCUGGUUAUGUGCAGUUUGUAUCCUCGUGGCUCAGCCAGGAGCUUGCAAUGUGGUGCUGAUGGCGAAUAAUAAGACUUUGUCAUUCAAUGAUGUCGAGGCAAGCUUUAGUGAGUGCUAUACACUAACCAAUGUCCCUGUAUUUCAGUUCCAAUCAUUUUUAUCAAUGUGCGGUGCUAAAUUGAUGCUGCUUGACCCAAUCUAUCUGUGCUAUGAAGAACUUACACUUCAACCUUUUGCAGCUCCAGCAGUGGAAGGCAAGGGUGUAAACGGUGUAAUCUACACUGUGGAACCUCGAGAUGCAUGCGGUCCUCUGAUAAACAGACCAGAUGAGGGCCCUGUAUCACCAUUUGCGUUGAUCAUAAGAGGUGGCUGCCAAUUUGAUGAUAAAGUUAGAAAUGCUCAGGAUGCCGGAUUCAAGGCUGCAAUAGUAUAUGAUAAUAAAGACAACGGUGUGCUUGUUUCAAGUAAUGUUCCUUCAGUCUUCCUUAUGGUCUUGACAUCAAUUUUUGUUUCUAUUUCUUUUAUAUAUCUUUGAUUGAUGAAUUACGAUCACUGCAUAUAAAAGAAUGUACUGUGCAUUUGAUUUAAGUUUCUAUAUUCCUAGUGCUUUGGUACCUAAAAGGUGAGAGGAAUAAAAAGGAGAUGCAAAAAUCUAAUCCAGUGUCACAGAAUUUAAAUUGUAAGAAGCACUAGCAACCUUAUAUGGACUAAACUUAGAGCAGAAAUCUUGGUGUGGCGUAAAAAUGUCAUGACACGUGAUUUUUGUAUUAGCUGUUUUUUCUCUCUCCGUAAUAUCCGUUCAGUGUACAUAUUUGAAACAGUAUUUAACUAGGAUGUGUUAAUAGUGGCUGGAAGCUCAUCUGGAAUCAGAAUAUAUGCGGUCUUCGUCUCUAAGGCCUCAGGAGAGGUGUUGAAGAAAUAUUCAGGUCAAAGUGAUGCUCAGUUGUGGAUAAUAUCAACACAGGACAACGCAGCUUGGUCAAUCAUGGCAAUUUCUUUCACAGCACUGCUUGCUAUGUCUGCUGUGCUAGCCACUUGUUUCUUUGUGAGAAGACACCAGAUAAGAAGGGAUAGGGCUCUAAUCCCUGCAGCUCGAGAAUUUCAUGGAAUGAGCAGCCAGUUAGUGAAGGCAAUGCCUAGUCUUAUUUUUACAAAAGUGCAAGAAGACAACUGUACAUCGUCAACAUGCGCCAUUUGCCUGGAGGACUACAGUGUUGGUGAAAAGAUAAGAGUGCUCCCUUGUCGACACAGUACGUUCUUCUCACAUUUAAUGAUCACAACUAAUUUUCUAAUUAGCACUACAGGACUUUGAUGGUUUGGGAGCUCGAUUCGAUUGUCUGUGCAAUUUUUAUGCAAUCAGUUUGUACUGGAGUGUGUUUUCAGUUUUCAUACUGUAGGUACUUGAUUGUGCUAUCUGAUGCUUUCUUUGUAAUUAACCUGUGCCCUAAUAUUUUGUUUUGUCAUCUUACAGAGUUCCAUGCAGCCUGUGUGGACCUGUGGCUCACUUCAUGGAGAACAUUCUGCCCUGUAUGCAAGCGAGAUGCAAAUGCUGGAACACCAAACCUCCCUGCAUCAGAGACAACCCCUUUGCUUUCUUCUGCCAUUCACUUGCCUGCCGAAUCGACGGCUUUAUCCUCUUUCCAGUCGAUGGUGUCUGCAUCUCCACCUAGGCCAAUAAGCCGGCAUCCUUCACUGCAGUCCAUGUCCCGCACCUACUCGAACUCCAGUAUCCCCCGAGGUAAUAACCCAUGCAGAUGUCGUUCCAAUUCGCCUGCCAUGAGUACAAGCAGGAGCAAUGUAGACCUUGCAAACAUGUCCGCAUCCCCAUGGUCUCACACUUCGCACCUUGCAUCCGGGAACUCUCUCAGCGGGUGCCACUUGUCUCCGCCGAUUGACAUCAGAUAUACAUCACUGCAUAAUCUCCCUAAUUCAAGUUACGGAUUCUCCGGUCCGUGCAUAGGUUCUCCCCAUGUCCCCCGUUCGGGCUACGGGUCUCCAAGCUAUCAUCAUCUUGGCUCUUCAGGGCAGCAGUACCCUUACCUGAGGCACCGAACAGAGUCGGGGCCGAGCCUGUUCACCAUGGUGCCCCAGUCACCGCAGCAGACCCAGCUUCAGCAUGGUGGCGAGUCGGGAACGAGCCUGUCAGCUUCAGCGUCGACCAGUUCGCUUCGUCAGGCCUACCUGCAGCAUUGCCCUGACUCUGACGCAAGCCUGUCUGCUGCAACAUCGGCUCAGUCGCUACCAGGUUGCUGAUUCCUCUAUAACAAAGUUCACCACUGAAAUCUUUGUGAGACCUCCUGUUUUGCUCAAAGAGAAAAACUGACAGUCUAAUGGAUGGAAGCUUAUGAUCCAUGGAACUGGCCUGCGGCGGCCAUGUACCAUGGCGAUUGAGCAAAAGCUGGGCUGCCUGGAAGAAAGAGAGAUGAGAAUGGAAUUGUUGACCUUGAAUUCUGACCAACUACUUGCUGGGGAUGAUCUUGAAGAAGCAAGAUGGCUGUUGUUGAGCCUGUAAAUGAGUUCGAGGCAUGUGCUAUUUUCUGCUACUGUUUUCUCACACCACGAGUUUAUUUAUGUUAUGUUGACAGGUUAUAAUUAAUUACAGGGGAUCCGUCCAUUAGUUGCAGUCAGGAAUGUUUUCUUCUUUUUUUGCUGUAUAUAAUAUAAAUAGAGAAGAGUUUGAAUUGCAAGAUGAGAAUAACUCAGGCUUGGAUUGGACCAUGCAUGCAUGAUGUUAGUUCAACAGAUAUACUACUCAAUCUGGGUAUGUAAGGUUUUUGUAUGAUGAAAUCGAGUGUUGUGCAUCUCCACUUUUAUAUGUUGGAGUGGAGUGGUGGCGUUUGGUUAGUAGUGACUGGUGCCCUCCAGGCUCCAGAGCGAGAGCUAAGCUGCUUGUAUUUUCUAUCUGUUCUUAAAAAUUUAGGUAUUUUCUAUCUGUUCUUAAAAAUUUAGGAUAUUCUUAAAAAUUUAGGAUUUUAGGAUCGGAGGGAGUAGUUAACUGGAGGGAGUAGUUAACUGAAGAAACUUUUCCAAUAUGGAAGCAGGUCUUGGUGGUUUGUGACAAUAAGGCAGCUAAGGUUUUCAUGCAUGCGCGGUUCUGGAAACAUGGGAGGUAUACGUGUUAGUAUUAACCAACAGUAGCUGGGUUUACAUAGGAAAGAGCCAACUACACGAUAGAUUUUUUUUGUCUUUUUUGUAUGAUUUUAGGAAAUCUGCUGUCCGUAGCUUUUCUUAGCUGCUGGAGGAGCUACUGCACAAAAUUCUGGAUAGUACAGUGCUGCACAGGACGUGAACAAGUAAAAAUUUGACAAAAACGGGAACAUGUAAAACUUGGGAACCAGAUCCACAGUCUGAAUAGUUUGACGAUGGUUCAGCUGAGAUCGACAUGGAGCUCAGUUCAGGCAGGACGUAGGCUGUCCGGCCGGCCGGCCGUGUAGUCGGCGGCGGCCUGUGGUCUUUAUUACAGCACGAGUAGUACUAGCUAGCUAGUGGUACCAUACAACGGCGGUGGACAGACACAUAAAAAGCUACUGGCGGCCUAGCUGACGGCCGCCGUGCAUCCCCUGCUUGGCCGGCUGCACUCCUCUCGGCGCCGACGGCUCCUUCUCAUCCCCUUCAUCUUCUUCUUCCCCUCGGAUUGCCUGCUGCUGCUGCUGAGGCUGGACGUUGAAGAGGUCGACGGGUUCGGAGUCGGCGAUCUUGCCGCCUUCGAGCGGCGUCUCGCCGACGUAGCCCGUCCUGAGCAUGUCGUCGUCGCUUAGCCGGGCCUGCGCCCGCCCGUGCUCCAUCUUCUUCUCCCUCUCCACCGUCUUGCCGUACCCCGGAACUUGCCCUUCCAUCGGCGAUCUCCUGCUAUCGCUCGCCAUUAUACUUGACUUUGCUUGCUUGCUUGUACGAGUAUAUAUGCUCUGCUGAUGCUCGGCUGCACUACACUGCAGCAGGGUGUAUAUAUGAUCUGUUCCCUGCUGUGUGUGUGUGGAGAGGUCGGAGGAUAUGCAUUGUUUGCGCUGGGGGCGACACGUUGCUCGGUGACGUGGCCACUUUUAAUUUGCAUGCGUCCUGCCACGCCGGUUAUCGACAGACACGUGGCCGUGCCUUUGUCACGUGUCGGCUAGGCAAUGCCACGUAUAUAUAAGGAUGCUUGCCACGUAUAUAUGCCUCCAAAAGUAAGCAUGGUAAAUUAAUCAUGUCAGAAGGCAUGCCGGUUGAGGAGAAUGGAUCCGUGGUCACCCGAUCUAGCUCAUACUUUCUCUCUUCAUCAGUACUUCUACUUCUAGUUUGUCCUAAGUCAAUUCUUUUAGGUUUGAUCUACAUUAAAUGUUGAAAAAUAUCAACAAUGUAUGACAUAAAUGUUGAUACAUUUUCAAAAAAACUGAUCAAAGUUUAAUAUUUUUCACUUAGACCAAACCUAGAUGUAAGCGGAGGGAGAGUGACUUCCCGAGCCGGAUUCCUCGGCGCCAGGUCAAAUCACUAAGACAACGCCUCACACGGCUUUGUAGUGUGUAAGGUCAUUGCAUUUGAGAUUUCUGACGUACGUUGCAAAUGGCGUUUGAGAAGCAUGCAUCUUUACUUAUUACUUAAUUCUCACUUACGUUAGUUCAUAGUACGUCCUCCUCCUCCUCGCACGAACGAAUCCCUCGUUACCCCUUCGACCGGCAGGCAAGAGUGAUUCCCUUUCUUUCGUGCGCUUACCAAAAAUAACGGAUCAAUCAACGCCGCAAAACAACCCGCCUAUCGUGACGUAGGCCAAGUUGCAUGAUUCCGAGGGCAAGAAGACGGCCGCCGUGAGUGCCGCGAUGAGGCGCUCGGGGACUCCGGCGUCGGCAAGUCUAACCUGCUGUCGCGGUUCACCGAGAACGAGUCCUGCCUCGAGUCCAAGCCCACCAGCGAGGUCGAGUUCGCCACCCGCAGCCUCUAGGUCGACGGGAAGGUCGUCUAAGACCCAGAUUGGGGACAACGCCGAUCAGGAGAGGUGCGUGCUCGCCUCUCUUAAUUGCUCCCGGCUCCCUUUCAACUCUGGCUUCCUGUUGGUGCGCAAAUGGGCACUAUUAUACUUACGUUGUAAAUUUGCUUGCUUCAUGCUCAUGGUUAAAAAUCAGGAAGUCCGCUACCUUGGUCACAAUAUCGUUGAUUUAAUUUAUCUUAUGACUACUAGAUUGGUGGUGAUGGUAAUUGGAUGGUUUGCUAAUUUUGGAUGCCCAUGCACCUCUUCCUCCGGCCGCUGCCCGGUGCUGCCCACCACUACUGCAGCACCGCCGCCACUAAGCUGCCGGCCCGCCGCUCGAUUCCGUGCCCCCUGGCCACCGCCGCGCCCGCCGCUAGCAUCCCGCCGGCGGCCAUCGUUGCUGCCCGCCCGCCUCAAGCGCUCCGUUCUGCAACUCCAUCCUCCGCGUCUGGCCGCCACUCACACAGUCGCUCACGCCCGACUCCUGCCCGGCUUCAGUACAGCAAGACACCCUCCUCCUGUGAAUUUAUCUUAUGAUUUCGAGUCCCUCCUCCUGUGAAUUUUGAAUCCAAUGUUCCAAUUUUCAUGUGAUUAUUUGGUUACAGUGAUCUGUCAAAAUGUCAUAGGGAUUUACAGAUUAGAGAUUGAAAUUGCUAUAUUUUUUAUAGUUGUAUUUGGUUUGCAAUGUGUUUAGUGCUGCAGUGACAGAUUCGACCUUCCAAUUCCAAUAUCAUUAGUUUGUUGCUAUGGUUCUUCACGACCUUGAGAGUAUGUGCCUCGGAACUUUGAAAGUUUAAUUCUUGCAUAUAUGAGACUAUGUGCCUAUUUCUAUUCCUGUAGCUUUGAUGUUUGAGACAAUUCAGGCUUGUUGCCUGUUGUGGAACUUUCAUGUAUGAGACCAUGCCCCUAUUUAUAUUUCUGGAACUUUCAUGUAUGAGAGACAUUGAGACUAAGCUUAUGCGCUUAUCAUAUUUACGUUUGCCACUUUGCAGGGAAAUGGCAGCUGUGACAAUCUACAAGGAGAGAUGUAUCGCUGUGAACGACGGAGAUAGUUGGGCCAAGUACAUGGCCAUUUCCGGUUCUGCUGAGGAUGAGCAUGACGUAAACACCCUGCAGUACACAGAGGAGGGCUUACUGACCAUCGACGUGAAUGGGGAUGGCCACGCAGCUGCGUUUGGUGAUGAUAUUGCCAUCGAGUGCCUAGCCACCGAGUUCAAGAGAGAAGUUUUUGUGGUAAGUUUUUGUGUACUUUGAGGAAGAGGAUUGGUUGUAUUUUUAGUAUGCGGUUGCAGUGAAGUCAAAUUUGUUAUGGGACUAGAGUGCGAAAUUGUGGAGCAACAUCUAUGCCCAAAGAAAGAGAGAAGAUAUGAUCUGUCUAACUGUGCAUUUGCAGGGCCUUGCCUGCUUCUCAAGAUUGUGUUGUACCAUGAGUCGCCUUGCCUGCUUCUCAAGAUUGUGCUGUACCUGUGUACCAUGAGUCAUUUUUGCAUUGUUUUCCUAUAGUAUACUCCCUCUAAUCCAUAUUAAUUGUCAAAAUAUUACAUGUAUCUAGACGCUUGUUAGGCAUAGAUACAUCCAUAUUUAGGCAAAUUUGAGACAAUUAAUAUGGAUCGGAGGGAGUAUGUUAUUAGGGAUAGGUCUGACUGCUGUGAGAGUUGUAGAAUACCUAUUCAUUGUAGAUUGUUGGUGUUGGUGUAUGCCGUAUUUGUCGGCCGAAAAUUUCCUAUUACCUCAUGUGAGGUUUUUUUCCUCUCCCAAAUUUUUCGGAAUCAAACCACUGAUUCAUUAUUUUGGCUAUGGGUGAAGCCUUUAUCCUCCUGGCGAAGCUUCCUCUGUAGUCACCUAUGUUGUUACUAUUUUGGUCUAGAAUAUGUGGUAGUACUUGUUAAUUGUAAUGGAUGAUAAUAAGAGUAUGAACCUUCAUCUUGAAUAAUAUUAGUUCAUCUUAAAUAUGUCAAUUGGUGGGGAUGUAUGUAUUUGUGCCGUCCUUGAUUUCCCAUGCCUCUCUGGUUUUAGAAAUGCACUUGUGCCCAGUGAACCGAGUGAAAAUAUGUGUUCUGUUCCGAUUUGAUCUGACAGCAGCGGAUUGCAGUUCUAUUUUUCAGGUUGUAUACUUUUGACCUUCAAUUUUAUCCAUCAGUUUAGCAAAUGAAUGCAUGAUGUUAACGGUCCCUGGUGAAAUGAUGGUCUCAGAUUAUUCCAUGCUUGCUAAAUUGGAACAUCAGAUGGAUGAUGAUAAAGGUGAAUUUUCGUGAUAAGCCGUGGCAACGCACGGGUACUAUUUGCUACUGCACAAAGCCGUUAUGUUGCACGAUUCUAGGUGUUUUCAGAGUAUGCAUGCAUUAUGCUGACCACCAUUACAUGAAGCCAAUUGUCUCUCUUUACCAGUGACUUUGAGUCUUUGAGAAAAUGAACGCUACUUGGAAGGGAUCGGCCACAACAUCAACCGCUAAUUAACAAUUACAUCUCCUAAACACUAGACUAGUUCUUCAAAGAUAGCACGGCAUGUAAGCAGCGCACGCAGUUGCAAGCAAGCAAGCACGAAACCGACGGAGAAUCAACCAAUUAAAGGAUCAUAAAUCGAGCCGAGGGAUUCAGUUUUCAGGCGGUGAGCUCCUCUUCCUUGUGGGUCUCGAUGACGAGGUCCGACUGCGGGUAGGCGGCGCAGGUGAGCACCCACCCGGCGGCGACCUGGUCGUCGUCCAGGAAGCUCUGGUCCGACUGGUCCACCUCGCCGGAGACCACCUUGCCGGCGCACGACGAGCAGGAACCAGCCCGGCACGAGUAGGGCAGGUCGAUGCCUUCUUCCUCGGCGUGGUCCAGGAUGUACACGUCGUCGGGGACCUCCAGAUCCACCUCCCCCUCCGGCGUCACCAGCUUCACCUUGUACGUCGCCUGCGCACGAAGCCUCAUGCCCCUCGCCGACGGCGCCGUCAGCGGGAGCACCACACGGGACGAGACGGCCGAGGAAGGUGGAGGGGCGGCUGUGAAGAGGGAGAGGCUGCUCAGCGCGGUGGUCGCCAUUAUUGCAGCUGUGUAAGCUUUCUUGCGAGGAGGAGGAUGGUGUUGGAGAGUGUAUGCAGUAAGCUCUAGCUGGACUGGAGGGGAUGAUGAAGAAGAAGAAGCAGAGGAUGUCCUAGAGGGUGCCACGUGGCCCCUGCAGGUGCUCAGGCUUAUCCUUAAGCUCGGAGCGACCACGGCCACACGAUGAAGGGAUGGACGUCGAUCCACGAGGGCGUGUGGAGGCCAUGCGAUGUAUCCAAUGCGAUUUUGAUCGAUGCACGGCGGCCGUCACAUUUUGGUUUGAGUCAAGCUAGAGAACCUGAUAUGCUGUAAAUUCUUCUAUCUAUAAAUAUUUCGCGACUGGUUUUAGCGAUAGCGAUCAGUCGAUCGAGUGAGUCUAAAUUUCAGUCAGAAAAGAAAAAAAAUCACAAUGAUUUUAGCGAUCAGUCCGUCAUGUGUGACCGGACGAGAAGCCAAGAAGUACACCAGGUUUCACAUUCACAUCAAAAACAGACAAAAAAACUCGAGAUGGAAGCGAUCGUGCCGAGAGUGUGAGCAAAGAUCGCCUUAGUAGACAGUCAGCGGUCUCUCCUCCUCUUGGUCACGCAAAUGGACUUUAAAUUGAGCAGGUCAUGGAAUCCUUCGCUCGGGAACAAUGAACAUGAAAUGCCUUAAAAUUACAAUGCUCCGACCUUCAGUGCAGCUCACCUUUCGUGAGAAGUAAGGCUCCACCAAUCACCGCUGGCGAUGGCACUAGGCAUAUCAUGUCAAGAACAUGUCGAUGAGGCCGGGGAGAAAUGGCAGGACGGACGUCAUGGAGGAGCAGUGGGUGGCGCUAACCCUAGCAACACAAGCUAGGGACAAGGGCAUGUGUAGGCCAUGCGAUGUAUCCUGCGGGGGAGCGAUGGAUGGCCGGCCGGCCAAUGGGGAUGCAUGGUGGCCACCGCAUUUUGGAUCAGUUGAGUGAAGCCACAGAUCUCAUACACUGUUCUGUAAAAAUCUUCUAACCAGAAAUAUUGUUUCGACCGGUGUUAGCGAGAGCGAUCAGUCGACCGAGUGAGUCUAAUUUCAUACAGAGAAUUAUGCAGUUGUUUUUAGCGAGCAAUCAGUCCAUCGUGGCGAUUGGAUGAGAAACAAAGGAGUACAUUGGGCACAAGGUUUGACGUCUAGAUCAGAAACAAUAAAAAAACAUUGAGGUGGAAGCGAUUGGUCUCUCCUCCUCUUAGUUGCACAAGGACUUUAAAUUGAGCAAGCCUUUCAAUGAACAUGAAAUGCCUCGGAAUCACGAUGCUCCUACCUUAAGCGAGAAGCAGCACCAAUCAUUGCUGGCACUGGGUAGAUUGUGUCCAGAACAUGUCCACAAGGCCUAGGAGAAAUGGCAGGCUGGGCAUAAUGGAGGAGUAGUGGCCGGCGCUAACCCUAGCAGCACGUGCAAGGGGAAAGGGUCCGCGGCGGGGAUGCAUGUGGCGUAAGUCGACGGGUCGAGAGAUAUGCGAAGAAAACCUUAAGGAGCACUGAUCAAUCUAGGGAAACCAUGCGGGAUGCCAAUCGAUUCAUAAAAAAAAACGUGUGGUGGGUGCCGAUAGAACUAGGGUAAACCGUGCGGGAGGGUUGCCAAUCAAUCUAGGAAAAAUUGUAGCGGGAAGCAUGCGAGGGGUUCGGAACGAUGUAGAAAAAGCCAUGUUUUUUUUCUGAAAAAAGAAGAGGGGAUAAGCUCAUUGUACCAAGAGAAAAUUGAACUCGCAUCACUAACUCGCAUCACUACUUCGUAGCUAGUAAAAAUACCAUCAUUGCAGAGACACAUCACACACCUGCUGGCUCAACCAUCAAAUCCAUUAAUUUCAGUACGUACAUAAAUACUAGCAGCAGCAGCAGUAAUUUGACCGUAUGGAUCGAUCUCAGGCAGGGGUAGUACAAAAAAGAGGAACACAUAAUAUUACUUGAGCAUUUCAUUCAAGCUCGCUCGCACAGCAGCAACCAAAUCGAUGCACGAUAAGAUCCAUGGAGCUUAGAGAGAUUAUGAUAUCAUCAGACACUCUUGCAAAAGCUGAAGACUAAAAACUUAGGCGGUGAGCUCUUCUUCCUUGUGCGUCUCGAUGACGAGGUCGGACUUGGGGUAUGCGUGGCAGGUGAGCACCCACCCGGCCUCCAUCUGGUCGUCGUCGAGGAAGCUCUGGUCCGACUGGUCCACCUCGCCGGAGAUCACCUUGCCGGCGCACGACGAGCACGACCCGGCCCUGCACGAGUAGGGCAGGUCGAUCCCUUCUUCCUCGAAGUGGUCAAGGAUGUACACGUCGUCGGGGACCUCCAUCUCCACCUCCCCCUCCGGC
rnacentral:lncRNA from 1 species